rnacentral:lncRNA from 1 species
GUUUCCCAGGUUGAACUCAGCUUCUGCUGCCGGUUAACGCGGUAGCAGUAGAAGAUGAUGAUGACAGAUAUGGCAACUCCCAGUGGUGGCAGGAGGCUGAUGCCUGUCACUUGAAAUAUGACUAGCAACAAGUCAGGAUUGCUGGUGUUAUAUUCUGAUGGGGAAACAAAACAAGGAGAGAAGGAGUUGGAUGUGGUAGGUAAGUACUGUCAGGAAGUGGGUUCAUGCCUGAGCAUCUAUAGAUUUUAGCAUCUGCAUAGUUUUUGUAGAUACGAUAUUGUUAAUUUUUAUUUCAGGGAUGCAAGUGCAUGCUCGUUCAGCCUUCCCUGCCUCUGGCCAUCUGUUCGUCAUCCCCUGCUCUUCCUUCAAACUUCAGCUUAAAUGUCACUGCUUAAGAGAGGCCUAGAAAAACUUGGAAAACUGUCUUAUUUUAUACAUUUUCAUAGCACCUUAUACUUUUCCUAGGUAACAAUUCAGUACAACUUAAACUAAAUGAACUAUGACUCUACCUCUUGAUUUCACAUCUGUCUUUCCCUACUCUUGCCAUCCCCCACGGACAGGGAACUCCAUGCUGGAAGGUACCAUGUCUUCUUCACUACUGUAAACUGCACUUAGCACACAGCAGGUCCUCAAUAUUGCCAAAUAAAAAGACAAACCAUUUACUGAGUGUUAUCUAAGCUCAGGACAUUGGGAACAUGAAAAAAAAUGACACAGCUUCUGCCUUCAAAAAAUCUGCAUGUAUGACAUCUGGUAAAAACACAGAGCGUGCCACAGUUUGCACCAAAAUCUUUGCUCUUUUUCAAACUCCAACUUGUUCUGCUCUGAUCAGCAUUCAGGCUACCCUGGGCCCAUGGGUGACAGGGAGAGGAGUCCAUGGAAAGGAUCUCUUUGGACAGUUAUCUUACAUCCACCCAACAUUCCUCUUUUCAGUGUGCAUACGAAUUGUAGUUUCAUGGAACUGAAAUAUUUAAUAGCAACAAUGGAAACAUGGCCGCAAAGGUAAAACAAGUUAAAAAUGGAAAUGCUGCAGUUUUUUGACUUGGAAUUCUGAAGCAGGCCCCUGUGGGCUGACAAGGAGAGUCCUUAGCACCAGAUAUCUAACUAUAAUAUCUUGUGCCUCAAACUUUGUUUCAUGUGCUGGCCUUGUUGGCUCUGGUGAAAUAGUUUUCCUUUUUGGAAGAAGGACAUGAAUAGAAACAGACAGUGGACAGGAGAGAGCAAAAGGCAGCUCUAGUUCACUGGGAGCUUGUGCUGGGCUGCUUUCAUUGGGCAAACAUGCAGAAUUCUAUUGCUUUAUGUGUCAUCCAUCUGCCCUCCAAAGUACCCAUUAAUGAGCAGGCCUCAUGCUCAGAUCCUAGAAUCAUUCAUUAAAUAUAUCACUACUGAGUGUCUAUGAUGGGCAUGGCACUGCCCUCAGAGAGUACCCAGUAGAGGACUUAGGGCAUAUAUACAAGUAAGCAAUAUAUGGCAUCUGGGAUAGGGGCUAAAUGUACAAUGUAAUCUAUAUAUUAGUGGAAUGUGGAAAAGCUUAGAGAAACAUGGAAGGCACAGUAGCAAAAAACUGCCUUUAAGUUGGUCUCUGAAGAAUGGGAAAAGUCAGUGAUGAGUGGAAAGAGUGCUAUGUUAAGGAGAAAGAAUAUAUGAUCUACUUAAGGAAGAGCAAUUAUCCCAUACUGACCACUCUGCACCUGCGGAAUAGAAAGGAAAAAAAUGGGUAGGUGGUAUGGAACCAAACUCCGUGUCAGAAAAGGAUCUUUUGAUUAUUCAUUUGUCAGUUUUCACCUACAGUAGGUGUUUAAAGAGAAAAAAAAAAGUGAUGAGAAUAUAGUCCAGGUAGAAUGAGGAUAUAACCAAAUUCUCUCAAGGGGAACCCAUUACCUAAAUGAUACUGAUAAAGGAGUUAAGAAGAAAUUACUUGGGCAGAUAGUAAGGGUAUGGAAGUCCUCGGUAAGGUGUUUCUUUUUAAUGAAAAGCAGCCCCAAAUCAUUUUCUAACAAAGAGCAGCCUGUAAAGUUGAGCUUCAGACAUAGACAGGCAAGCUGGGAGCUUGCACGGGUGAAUGCCAGCAGGAACUAAGGACAUGUUCAAGAUGGCAGCUCCAUCUUCCCUUCUCUUUGUCAGCCAUGUGUACAACAAAGAACAGACCAGAUGGUGCUGAUCAACUGGAAAGCCCAUUUGCAUAAUAAGAUUAGGGUGGGGUGACCAGUCUUCCCCAUGCACUAUGUAAACGUCAUACCUGAUUGAACCAAUCUGUGAGCCCUAUGUAAAUCAGACACCGCCUCUUCAAACGGGACUAUAAAAUCCAGCACAUUCACCACUGGCCCGUCCUUUCCGCUUGGAGACUCCUUUCUCUACAGAGAGAAUUGUUUCUCUUUCUCUUCUCUUCUGCCUAUUAAACCUCCACUCCUAAACUCCUCAUGUGUGUUCAUAUCCUAAAUUUUCCUGGCUCAUGAUGAUGAACCCCAGGUUAUAUACCCCAGUCUACAUAGCUACUUCAGCAUCUGAUACUUUCUUUUUUUUUUCUCGAGAUGGAGUCUUGCUCUGUUACCCAGGCAGCAGUGCAAUGGCACGAUCUCUGCUCACUGCAACCUUGCCUCCUGGGUUCAAGCCAUUCUCCUGCCUUAGCCUCUAUGCCCAGCUUUUUUUUUUUUUUUUUUUUUUUUUUUUUUUGUAUUUUUAGUGGAGACGGGGUUUCACCAUGUUGGCCAGGCUGGUCUUGAACUCCUGACCUUGUGAUCUGCCCGCCUUGGCCUCCAAAAGUGCUGGGAUUACAGGCGUGAGCCACUGCGCUUGGCCCAGCAUCUGAAACUUUCAUCUAACGAAACAGUGAGAAAUGAAGCUGGUACAUAUCCAUUUUUAAGGUUUAUGUGUAAUAUGAUUACUUGUUCUUAAGGUAAGUCUGAGUGGAAAUGCCAACUUCCACUGACUAUAUAUUCUAGAUGAAAAUCUUGGGUCUAGUAACCAGAGAAGUAACCCCAAGAUAUCAGAAUUCCAGCAACCAAGAGGGAAAAAAAAAAUCACCAUUUUUUGGAAAGAUAUAUGAAUGCAUUUUAAAAGUAUAGGGAAAGUGAGAAAAUUUGGUGAUUGAUCCUUAAAAACAUAAAUUCUUACACUGGGAGGCUUGGAUUGGGACAAAGAACAGGCAAGAGUAGGGCAGAAAUGGGGUGGGACAAAGCAAUUACAGAAUGAUUGAAUGCAAAAGAAAAAAAAGAUGCUCUUGUGGAGAUGUAUGGACUGUCCCUGUUGUACAGCAAACAAAAUUAAGGGGGCAGAUGAACACAACACAAAUUCAAACACAACAGCCGAUCCAGCAGUCGGCAUUUCCACUUAGGCUUACCACUUCCACAAUGCUCCCUGCCUGAAACUCCACCUCUAUUAUAUGUGGUAUCCAAUGAAUGUGUUUGCUUGAAGUACCCACUUGUCUCCGGUCUCUGUGUCUGUAACUACAUGGAAUGUCUUAUAAUCAGAAAUCCACUUGAUUAUCUGAUUGCUUCUCUCCUGACAAAGCAGGGUAGUGGCCAGGUCUGUUUUGAUCAUCAUGAUAUACACAGCACCUGGGGCAGAAUGGGGCAAUUUAUGGUAUUCAACAAACGUUUGUUUUAGAAGCUGAAUGAUUACUUACGUGGAAUGAUACUUCUCAAAUUUUUUAUAUUUUACAGCAAGGUUUGACAAACUAUGGCUCAGAAGUCCAUGGCCUGCUUUUGUAUAGUCCUAUGACCUAAGAAUGAUUUCCAUCCCCAUUUUUAAAGAGUUGUUUAAAAAACAAUAAAACUAAGAGGUUCAUGCAACAGAGAUCUUAUCUGGCCCAGAAAGCCUAAAAUAUUUACUAUCUGGCCCUUCACAGAAAAACUUUGCUGACCCCUGUUCUAGAGGUGUUAUUUUAAUAACCUCAUUGGCAGAAUCUGGAGAGACUUCACUUUGGCCAAAUGUGAAUAUGUAGUCAAUUUUUUUUCACAUAUGAGAAAUACAAUUUGAAAAAAUUUAAAUAUUAACUGCAUAAUUACUUAGCUUUGUCCUUAAUUCACUAAAACGUCCAGAUGAAAUGUUGAUUCAUCAUGGAUAAUUUUAUUUUACAAUUCCUAAAUAUCUAUAAAAACAGUCGUAUUUGCUAAUUUCAAUUCCUUUUUAGCCUAAAGGAAACACAAAAACAGAAAUCCCCUUAAGUUUAUGUGUGGCACUGACUGAAGAAGAUUCUAGAAAUCCCCAGUUCAAUGUCAGAAACCAAAGUUUUACUUUCUCCUAAAAUUUCCUGUUAUUUCUUUAGAAGACUUACACUUAAAAAAUUUGAGGGGGAGGAAUUCUUGAAUAACAUCUGUCAAUCUUGAAACUUCAAAGAGGUGGUGAAAAACUCUAACAAUAGCAACCAGGGCUGGAAGGAAGCUUUGGGAUGUGGCUUUAUCUAAACAGGAGCCACCCACACCCUCUGGCAGUAUUAACCCUUGGGUUGCUACUAGAAAACCCAACAGCUGUUGGUGUAGGUACAAGCCAGCAUCUCCUUUAGUCGAAGACCAACAGGAAAUGCUUCUUUUCAUCAGCCGCCAGUUACAGAGAAACUCAUAAACUGAACACUUACUAAGUUCCUGGCUGUGUGCUAAGGAUUUUAUAGAAUAUUUAAAUUUAAUUGAUAGAAAAACCCUAUGAGGUAGAAACUGCUAUUAUUAUAAACCCCAUUUUACAGAUAGGGAAGCUAAAGAUCAGACAGUUUAAGUAAUUUUCCCAGAUGAUAAAUUUAGGCAACAGCAAAGCUGGUAUUUACAAUGAGCAUUGCCUGAUUGGAGAGACUUCUGAUCUCAACCCCAUACCUGAUCUCUAAACUUCAUAUUGGUGAGAGCCAACUAAGAAUGGCAAUGACCUUAGGCUGGGUGUGGUGGCUCACACCUGAAAUCCUAGCACUUUGGCGGGAGAAUCACUUGAGCCUAGGAGUUUGAGACUAGCCUGGGCAACAUAGUGAGACUGUCUCUACACAAACUUAAAAAAAAAAAAAAUUAGCCAGACACUGUGGUGCUUCCUGUAGUCCCAGCUAUUACGGUGGCUGAGGCAGGAGGAUUACUUUACUUGAGGCAGGAGUUCAAGGCGGCAGCACACUAUGAUCCUGCCACUGCAUUCCAGCCUGGGUAACAGAGCAAGACCCUGUGUUUGUGCGGGCGGGGAUGGGGGGGUAGGGGUUGCGGGGGAGGGGAAGAAUGACUUUAUAUAAGCUCCCAAUUUGAUAAAGUGUUUUUCUUUAGUGUAGCCUGGACUAAGUGAUUUUACAGCCAUCCACCGACUGACAUUGGCAAUUCUUGUAUAAUGUGUCUAAAGGAGUAUAUUUUGGGUAUGGGGAUUAUAUUCCUUUGUUCUGAACUAAGAACCACAGUUUAGUAGUGUCUCUGUAAAUAUGCAUCUUUUUCCUGCCAGGAAAUAAAAAGUUUUAUGUGAAGGAGAACCCCCAAAUCUUUUUCUUUUCUCAGAGCCUAUUCUCAUGGCCUAGAUCUUAGCAGAGCUCAAAACAUAAUUGUUGCACUAUUGGGACCUUCCAUGAAUAGUAAUAACAUUGAACCAGAUAUAGCUCUGAAGGGCAUUAAAAAUAAGGGUGGAAUUUAUCCAAGGCCCAUAAAAAAAUGAGGCUAUAAUAGUAAACAUUUUUAGCCUGGGUUCCAUAAAUAGAGUUCAGUGGGUCUGUGAAUUUGAAUGGGCAAAAAUUGCAUCUUUUUUUAUUUUCUCUAACCUUUAAUUAAAAAUUAAUAUUUCCUAGUAUCAGCUGUACCUAUGAGUUUGUUGUUGCAGACGUCUCAGCAUGUGACUUACGCUCACCAUUUAGACAUUUCAAUUGUUUAGAUCUGCUGCUAUUGUUAUUUAAAGCAUUAUUAUAGAAACAUAUAUUACUAUAACACAAAUUCAUUUUUAAAAUAUUUGGUCAUUGUAUUUCAAUGUAAUUGGUUUUCUUUGAAAUACUCCAUGUUCUAUUUUAUGCAUUUAAAAAACAUCACAGUGAGAAGGGGUCCACAGGCUUCCCUACUUCAAGAAGUCCAUGGCACAGACACACAAAAAGGGAAGCUCCCUUGGCAGAGUGAAGGCAUUUGGGCUCUAGUCUCUUUUCCAGGACUUGCUAGAGCAGGAAUUUUGAGAUUGAUGGGUUUCUCUAGGAAGUUGGUAACUAGUGCCAAUGGGAGAUCUGCCUGGCUUGAUUUGUUGUGCUGCACAUGGACAACUGUGGAUGCUGUCGGAGCUUCUGUGGAGUGGGAAGGGAGCUCCGCAGUGUAGAAUUUGAGGAGAAGCCCUCCUUUGAAAUCUUGUAACAAUAAGAAAGAUAACUCAUAUACGAUGUGCUUUGUUGGGUUAGGCACCGGACAAUUUAUUUUGUAAACAUGAUCUACUUUAUUUCUCCAAUAACCCUAUGUAUGAGUUAGAUUCUCUUACCCCCGUUUUACAGAGGAGGAUACUGAACCUUGGUUGCUUCUACAACAUUUUUGUCUACUUAGUAAAUAAGUAUUCUUGUUAAGUAAAAGUUGUUCCUAGUAAGUACUCAAUAAAUGAAUGCUGUCCUUUUAAUGUUAUAAUUAACAUGACUUGAGACAGGAAGUUCUUCCUUCCCCUCAGCUAUCUCUCUUUAGCACAGUUUCCUUCUUUGGAUCUCAGCCAGUUGCAUAUAUACUCUCGCUUUAGGUGAACAUGCUGGCAUGUGAACAUCCUUGCGGCUAGAGCUUCACUGCCAACUUCACAAGAAUCUCUCUUGGCAUCUGAGGCUCAUUAGUGCACUAAUACACCAAGGUGUGCGAAAAACUGUCAUCCACGUCCCUUUCUAUUGCUCGGAUAAAUUAGUAUCCCACUAAAUGUUCACCCUAAACUCCUUUACCGAGUGGAGGAAUUGCCAAACUACUUCAAAUAUUAAAGUAGGAGCCUAUCUCCCAAAUUCAGCUAUGUUGAUUUGCUUUUUAUCAAGACACAUUAACUGAUCCACAUAGGAUUUUAUUUACCAAGUUGGCCUUAAUUUAAUGCUUUUAUUUUUUUAACCAAGUGACUUUUAUUUAAAAUAGUGGAUUAGGGAGGUUCAGUUUUAAGUUCCUUUUAGGAACUGGUGUCGGCAUAACAAAGGACAUAAAAGAGGCUGAGAGCAACGUGUGUGUGCGCGCACGCGCGUGUGCAUGUGUGUGCGCACAUGCAUACUCAAGUUAUAAGACAAAUUGUUUACUUUUCAAUCACUCCAAAGGAAAGUAUACCACAGGAUUUCCCCUUGAGGUUUUCUGCCAGUUUGUAUUUUUUUUUAUGGCAUACUAACAUUUAUCUUUGGAAGACAGAAAAAAAAAGAAUUUGACAUUUGUCUUUAAAAAAAUAUUUAUGUAACAAGACUCUGACAUUUGCAAAUGGCUCCUUAUUUGCAACUAAGUCUGGCCUCUAUGAGUGACAGAAGUGACUGGAAAUUUUCAGAAUUAUUAAAUGGAUCUCACAGUUCAUUGUUAAGGAGAUAGCUUGGUGGUAUGGAAAGAACAAAAGCUUUGAAGCCACUCAGAUGAUUAAAAAAAAAUGGGGGGAAGAUAUGGUGCCUCACACCUGUAAUCCCAGCACUUCGUGAGGCUGAGGUGGGAGGAUCACUUGAGCCCAGGAGUUUGACACCAGCCUGGGCAAUAUAUUGAGACCCUGUCUGUAUAAAAAAAAAAAAAAAUUAGCUGGAUGUGGUGGUGUGGGCAUGUAAUCUGAGCUACUUAAAAGGCUGAGGCAGGAGGAUCACGAGCCCAGAAGUUCAAGACUGCAGUGAGCUAUAAUGGUGCCACUGCAUUUUAGCCUGGGCAACAGAACGAGAACAUCUCCCCCUGCCCCCCCAACUCCCCCCCCCAAAAAAGUUAGCCCUCUCUUCCUCUUUCCUUUCUCCUAAGGGUAUUUAAAAUAAUAUACUUGGCCCAAGAGCACAGUAUGGCCCUCAAAACUAGAGAAAUUACUCUGAUUUCUCUCUUGUGAAAAAGAAUUCAUUCCAAAAUAAAACACAGAUACAGAAAAGUGCAUAAAACAAGUGUCUGGCUUAGUGAAUUACUAUAAGAUCAACACUCUUGUAACCACUGGUCAGGUCAGAAAAUAUAAUUUUGCUGGCCACCCCAGAAGUCUGUUCAUGUUCCCCAACUCAAUCGGAGAUCCCUCCCUUCCUCUAAAAAGUAAUCACUAUUCCUGGCUUUUAUAGUUAUCAUUUUCUUGAGCUUUUAAACUUGUUUUAUCAUCCAAGUAUGCAUCUGUAGUCGUCUUGCUACUAAUAUGACUGAAUACAAAUGGCAAACCUUGCUUUUUUGCAGAAUUACUGUUUUAAAAAAACUUCCUACAAUAAAAACACCAGAAUCUUUAAAAAAUGUUUAAUCUGAAUUAAUCAAAUCAUCAGACAAAUCUACAAAGUGCCUUUAUAAAGUACAUGAAAUGGUCUGACCUAUUCAAAUCAAAGUCAAUGUCAUGAAAACCAAAAAAACACACUGUAGAGGCAAAACAAUCAAUUUUAAUGUGUUGUCCUUGACUGGAUUCCGAAUUUAAACAAUAGACCCAUUAACCUUGAAGAAAUCUGAAUAUGGACUGUACUGUAUAUAUAUUUAGAUGUAUAUAUGUGAAUGUAUCUGUGUCUUAGUAUCUGUAUACACACACACACACACAGAAAGAGAGUGAAAGCUAAGCACUCACAUAUAUGCUUCAUAUUGCAGAGUUCAAAGAUCUUGCCAUCAUUUUCUGUACCUUUAAAAAUUUUGUUGGCAUGUUACAUAAAGAAUAACUUGUCACCUCGUUAUUCUAAGUGUGCCCGCAGACCAGCAGUCAUCAGCAUCCCCUGGGAACUUACUGGAAAUGCAGAGUCUUAGCGCUGUCCUCAACUAACUGAAUCAGAAUCUACAUUUAAAAGUUCUCUCAGUGAUUCAUUUACACAUUCAAGUUUCAGAGGUAAAUUUUAUUCUUGCUAAACAGUUUAGCAAAAAUAAAGUUAAGUUCUUUGGUACUCUGCCAUAGAGAUGCUUUCCUCCUACAAAAAAUUUCUUAGUGGAAUUGUUUGCAAAGCUCUGGUACAGCUGUAUUCAGCACUAGCCAAUGAGAAAAUGGCCCAUGAUAAUUUUCUAGUCAAUUAACUGGUGGAGGAGUGUAGAAUGAGAUAUGCUUCCCCAUCCAUCAUCCUAGUAAAAAGCACACCAAUUUAGGCAAACAAUAAAAAGUCAUUUCAAUUAAACAACAAAAGGACAGUAAGCUCACUAGCAAUGAAGGAUUUAAUUUAACUUCUAGCUAUUGAUAGCACUGUUUGACAUUCUGGAUAUAUUUUGAGAGUAUUUUUUCCUCAAAUGAUGAAAGAAGUCUUCUCUCCAAUCAAUGUGGUUGUUUUAUUCCAACUGCACAUAUUUCAGAACAAAGCUAUUCGCCACCUCUCCUAUCCCAUGGCACAGUCUCCUUUGUAUUAUUUCCUUCUUAUCUCUCUCCCAGAUGGAAAAGCCUUGCAUGUAUUCUAAUCCAGUAUGAUAAUCUCUUUCUAGAAUACCCAUGAGAGGUAGAGGUGAAACCUCUGCCUGAAAAUGUUAUGGUAGAAGGACAUCAUUCCUUUGUUAUCAUUCCAUAAUCAAAUCACAAUAUUUCUAACUGCAGAUAUAUUGGGAUAAAGUCUAAAUAUUGGGAUAUGUUUAAAAUUAUUCUUUACAUUAAGUCAAAUGUAGCCUCUGUGUGCUUCUAUUAUUGGUCCUUCUGCUGUUCUCUAAAGCAAAAAGUAACAAAAUGAAUCCGUUUUCUAUGGGAUGAGAACUAUUAAACUCCUGCUGGAUAUGAAACUCACAACCCCUAGAUCAUUUCAUUUUCAGGUUGAACAGCCAUGUUUUCCUCGGUUACUUUUCAAGAGAUACAUUGAUGAGACUCUAAAGUCUGACAGAUUUAUCAGACCCUAAAAUCAGCCUGCCCAGCAUAUAGCGCCCAAUAAAUGCCAGGACCUUUUUUCUAAGGGUAAAGUGAUCUGUUCUCUGAAACCACGCUUGCUAUUUAAGAUUCUUCAUCAUGUGUUUUGAUAGACACAGAUAUAAUACUUGGAAUAUAACUUGUGUAGCAAAGAUUACAGCAGGACUCUCACCUCCUCUUCCACCAAGUGGAGUUUAAGGCUCCUGAUGGUUUGUUCUUUCUGUUUUGUUUUGAUUCUUUCAGCCAGAUCAUCCUGAUUUCAAAAUGACCUUAACUCACCUCUAAACCCUGGGGUCUUCAUCACAUGAGCAGAUUCCCAGCCAGUGUUUUGACAAGUGCUCCUUUGCAAUCGAUUGUUUGAACCUAUAUGUCUGAUUUUACAUCUACCUGUCAAGUUUUAGAAAAUUGGUCAUUUCAGGCCAUUAAAACCCUGAUUCAGCCUUUGCUCUUUUAGGCAUCCCUUCCACUGUGCUUUUCACCCUUUAUGUUCCUCCUUAGGAUAUAGAUUCCUGCUACUUCUCUUGCUCUGACUUUAAAAGGAGGGCAACCAACAUUAGGAGGGUGCCUACAAGGUACCAGGCUUUGUCCAGGAAAUGAUGACACAUCUGUCCUCCCACAAAGAGAGUUUCACACCUGAUAUAUGUUCUUUGGAACAAGAUUUUUUUUCAUUUUCUUUUCUGUGUUAUUGCAGUUUUCUGACUACUAAAAGCUUAGGUUUUGUUAGGAUCCCCACACCUGCCCUGAUUCUUUAAUUCUUUUUCUGGCUGGCUGUCUGAAUUACACCUUGUACUCUGUCUAGGGGCCCUCAUGUUCUCAGGAAACCUGAAAGCAAGGUACAUUUCUUAAGUUAUUUCAGGAUGCUCUCCAACAGGGAGACCAGAUCGCUUUGGAAAAGCAUAUUCAUUAUUCACAAUACCUGUUAGGUCACCAGAAUACAUCCUCUCUCUCUCCCUGGCUUUCCAGGUGAACCACAGGCUUCUGCAAUUCCUUCCCACCUGAGUUUCUCACCUCCUAAAAUCAUGCACACAGCCUCCCUGGUCCCUGCCUUGUCUCUGCCAAGGCAGUAGCACCCAAACCUUGCCAUCCAACCUUUUGGACACAUUAAGGUUUAAAAUGUGCUUUCCUUUAACGUAUAAUUUAAUCAGUUUUAAAAGCUAAGAUGCCUAUUCCCAAUGAGGCCGUUGACCUUGUUCCAAAGCAAUUGCUUGUAAAUUGUUGUAGAAAACAAAAUAAUAUCCCCUCUUAAAGUGUCUUGCUAUUCCUCCAAGGAUGGGGUAAAACAGGUGUUGGUUUUUCUCCUCCUCUAACCUUCGAAGGCAUAAUUUUGGCUCCUUCCUGUGGUAGCUGCCAUUCUUUAAUUGUUACCGUCCCUUUCCAGGCUACAGGGGGAACGUGACGAAAAAUAUAAAAAGAUUUGGCAGAACAAACUGUCUUGAGUCCAGUGGUUCCCAAUGUGGGCUGCAUAUUAAAAUAUCUUGAAGAAUUAAAAAAUAAUUCCUGAUACCAGGCCCCAGACCAAUUAAGUCAGAAACUGCAGGAGUAAGACCCAGUUAAUGAGUAGUUUUUAAAGCUACUCAGGUGUUUCCAAUGUGCAGCCAAGCCUAAGCAUAACUACAUCAGCCUGGUGGAAGAAACAGGUAUUUCGAAUAGGAUGGGGCCUGGAAAAUGAAAGACAUGGGAAUAAUUUUAAUGACUACAUUUCAGAGAAAUUGUUCUUGACAUUGGAACCAACUAUAUCCUCUAAUUAGGCAACAAAAGGCAUAUAUAUGUAUAUUUUUAAAAGUAGAUAAGCAAAUAUAAAUUAUUUCUCUAAAAGUUAACAUGUUUUUAAAAAAAAGCAUAAUUUGUAAUGGCAAAAUUGAUAUUUUCCACAACAGGUAACAUGCAGGAGCGAUUUAGAAUACAAAAGGACUUUCCAAAGGCAAGUCAUCCAGAUGUCCAAAUGGUGGUGAAUACAGCCUCUGGAGUAUACGUGGGUGGAAAUAAAAGUCAAUUUCACAGUGGUUAGCCACCUCCCUGAGCCUUUUUUUUCCCCUGGUGGGACACUGAGACACUCGCAAAGCAGCAAAAGGUCUCAGUGGACCCUUCUUGCCAUUACUCAUGGGUGUGGAGUUUAUGGAACACAUGGAGGCCGCAGUGGGAGAGACCUGAGGCUGCAGAGGAACCACCCGAACCUUGCUACAGCACCAGCAGUAUGGGUCCGACUGCUUUCUUGGCCACUCAUAUCCAGUGGAUGGAAUUUGAGACAGCCUGUGUCCAUACUAGAUUCCACUCUGCUGAUUCAUACCAGAAUGAGGUUCUAGAGUACAAAUAUUCACAACCAGAAAGCACAUCUGGCCUCAGUGCAGCUUUGUUUACUUUGCUACUUAGGAAAAAAAAAAAUCUUGAAAAGCGAGUUGCUUUUGCCUUAAUUCAGUUCAAAUACAUUCUAAGCUUCCUUCAACUGAGUCACAGUGUCCUCUAUCAUGCAAAAUCUUUAUUAUUUCCUUGGCCAGACAUAGGGCCAUAUUGAUGAAUUCCAAGUGUGCUUUCUAACCAAGGCUGGUUCACAACAAAAAGCUGCUUCAGCUCUGAGUCAUCACCUCAAAUAACUGAUUUCUCUUCUCAGGAAUGAGACUAGCAACUUUAAUCCAUAAUUUUCUUCCUCUUCUAACAACUUUUCUCAACCAUAUUUCCACACUUAUUUUUUCUUCUGCAUUUAGACCAGAAAGUAAAUCUGGUUUGUUUCUUUUGAAACAAAAAUGCACAGCUGGAAAGCCAGCUAUUUUGAGGCGUGAGUGCACAGUUCCAAGGCAGCAUACCUAAAAUCCCCCAGAGCUACCAAAACACCAUUUACUCUUUUCAUUUCUUACAUGCAAGAACUAAUCAUUUCCCCAAGAAGCCAGCUCCCUGGUGUUGGAGCUGAACAAACAUAAAAUGAGAUUUGGGAGAAAGAGGGCAGCAUUUCUAAGACUUCCCUUACUCGGAAAACAACGGAAGUCAACAAAAUGCUCAAUGCAUGCGAUCAGUACACAGAGUGGGUUUGCUGGAUGGUGUAAAGCAACGACAUUAAGGACACAAUGGGUCCAGAGGGAACCAGCUGGCUGAGAUGUUCUGCUAGCAAGUUAAACAUAGACAGGAAACCGCGUGUCUGAUACUGUAAAAAAAUAAUUUGUCUUCCUGCCAGAGAUAGGCUAGCAAACCAAAAAGGCUGUUUUCACUUAAAAGAAAUGCUACAACAAUGAGAGAGGAAGGAAUGAAACUUUGUGGCUACAAGAAGUCUUCUUCUCUGCCCCUCUCUCAACAUCUCAGGUUAGAGGGCACACAUCACCACACUAAAUGCUAAAGCCUGCACAUAGCUUGCGAGUCAGCAACGUGCACCACUGGGCAUACAUCUUAUGGUCUGCUUCCCUAUUUAACCACAUAGAUUGAACUUUGAGUCAGAAGUGGUUACUCAAGUCCUGGUUUCUAAGCUAGCAAGAUAUAAUUGAUUUAUUUACUUACAGUCCUAUCCCAUUCCCAAAAACAACAACAACGACAACAACAAAAAACACAGUGAAAGAAGAUACAGUCAAGACAGGAGCUAUAAUUAUGACAAAUGGAAUAUAAAUGUGAGAAAACAGGGUAAAAACUGGUAAGCAAGAGUGAUAUUAGUAUGCUAAAUGUGUAGGUACAUAUUUGCUAGAAGCAUGAUUCAGAUUUGACUCUAAGCUUUUCUGGUAGUUAGCAUUUGAGAGAGAAACACAAAAACCAUGAAUAUCUCUAUCAGGGGUUGGCCUGAGCCCUGUUUUUGUAAAUGAAGUUGUACUGGAACACAGCCACGUCCAAUCACUUACACACUGUCUGUGGCUGCUACCACAGAAGAGUUGAGUAGCUGUGACAGAGACUCUGCCCUGCAAAGCUGAAAAUAUUUACUAUCUUGCCUGUUAUCAAAGAAGUUUGCAGACCCCUGCUCGGUAUGCUUCAAAGUGUCCUUAAGAUCAGAGGCAAACAGGUCGUCAUGAGGAGAACACCUUUCUAAAACAGAGAGCCAAAAUAAAUGUCUCCUGGCUUCCUCAUGAAGAUAACAAUACAAUGCAGUGAACAGCAUCCUCCACAUUCUUUACAGUAAACAUACCACUUUGAUUCACAGGACUCCUUAUAAUGGGGAGCACCUCAAUAGGACUCAGGUGGAGGAAUUUGCAGGGAAGAGGAGAAUACAUGACGUUGGUACAAAUCUCCUCACUCAUCCAGCUAAAGGCAAAGAUAAGAAAUUUGAAUCUAGUGGAACAGUAAUAACUAUUUACAGUCAAAAUUCAUUAAGUGCUCACUCUGUGCCAGGUGCCGUGCCAAGUUCUCUACAUAAAUAAAUACAUUUAUCCUCAAAAUAAUCCUAUUAAAAGUAUUCAUUAUUUCUACUCCCAUUUUUCAGAGAGGUAAACAAGUAGUUACCCCAAGAACCAAGAGCUUACACACGGCUGAGCUGGGAUCUGAACACAGGCAAUCAGCAGGGAAGCCAUGCUCUCAGCCCUGCCCUCUGUUGUCUUCCCAACAGAUGAGCAUCUUACUGGCCAUCGUUUAUACACAUCAUUUCUCACGGACAUGGAAACAGUGUCAGCCUGAGGUUGUGCCUCUUGCCAAGGACAUGCUCAGUGAUGGGUCUGGGCUGCCGUUUGGCAAACAGAACAGGUAGCCUCUUAUGUAAGUUGUGCAGCCUCCCAUGGGUUAAGACUGAUAAAAAAGCAAACACACCACCACCACGGGAAUGUGGAAGGGUAAGGGUAUUCCUUCUAUAAGAGACAAGAUUAUCUGGUUCUUCUAUGAUUCUCCUACGGACAAAAAGUGAGGAACAAACUAUGAGAUCUUGGAAAAUCCCAGCUCCUCUCUGGAGACCCACUUUUUUGUCAUUAAAAUGAGAAGUCUGGAGGAGCCAAUUCACGGGUUUCACUUCAUCAUAAAAAUGUAAUGAGUCUAUGAAACAAGACAACACACCUGAAAGUAGUUAGCACAGGUGCACACAUUCAGAGUAGGCUGCAAUCCAAGGCAGCGAUCAUCACUAUAGUUGUUCUAUGAGUUCCCACAGCCUAGGCCAUGGGCUUGCCACCACCUUGCCUACAUUUCAAUUGGAAAAGGGGUGGGACCCUGGUCCUGCAAACAAACUACUGAAAGUCUAGGACUUGGGUCCAAUGCUAUCCCUUUCCUAUAUGGCCCCAGUGCCUCUCAUUUUCUAGAAUAAGCAGUUCAGUUCUAAGUUAGCAGGAAAAGCAAGAUGGCCAAGAUCCAGUCAUUUGGGAGCUGGAAGUGGUCCAGCAGCAUGCCUCCCUUCAUCCUCCUUGGCUUACCAUCUUGUUUUCCACGUACCCACCUUCAGCAGACAAUCUUAGCAAACAACCCAAGAAUGAACUGAUUCAGGCCAACUCUUCUUAGAACCACACUAUUACUCUCCAGGGCUUUCCAAGGCCACCAAACAUCUCCUUCAUUGAUCCAGUUCAAAACAGUAUCUUGUACAAUGCAUCUUGAAAACAUUCGCAAAUGUCUUCUUGUUUUGGGAAAUAUUAAGGGAUAGUCCCACAGAUAAACUAAUACAAAUACAAUAAACUAACAUGAACAUGAUCACAGAAACAAAAGAAAUGCUUACUGAAAAGGUGUCUGAUUUUCUCCACAUUAAGAUCCACACCAGAACAACAUUUGUGGAGUAUAUUUAAAAAAUAAACUAUUGUCACUGCUGAAAAAGACCCACAUGCCACUGGAGAGCUCUGUUACACAAGCUGACUGAGUAAAGUAUAUUUAGUUCAUUUCCAAAUGACCAGGCUUUAGACCAAAUUUAUUCCUCAUGGGCCCAUUAGCUCAGGGAGUUACCAGCAUGAAGUUAAUAAGACCUCCAUCUCUGGUUCCAUCCCUACCUGGUGAGUUCACACCAGUGCUUCUCACACUUCAGUGUGCAAACAAAUCACUGAAGGCCUUGUUACAGGCAGAUGCUAAUGCAAUAGGCCCCAGAGGACCCAAGGUUGUGCAGUUCUAAUAAGCUCCCGGGUGAUCCUGCUGCUGCUGGUCUAGACACUUUCAGUAGCAACGGUUUAUACCGUUCAGAAGAGGUAUGUGUCUUGGUGUAGAGUGUUCUCGUUAAUCAGGGGAAGAAGAAGUAAGAAAGGAUGCACCUACUGUGUGCCAGCCACUGUGCUGGGCGCUCCCAAGCAUCAUCUCCUUAAAUCCCACAACAACCCACAGGUACCAUUUAUCAGCACUACUUGGCCAAUAAUGGCGCAGUCAUUCAAAGAGAAGGCCUUGUGGCCCAAAGCAAGCUUUCCAUGGAAAAAAUGAAGAGGGAAUGAAUCCCUUUGGCAAGUACAGAACUGCGAUUACCCUAAUCACUUAUGUGAAAGGCACUUGUGGGUUGUUUCAGUUUUAUUUAGCUGCUUCCUGCUGUGAUUCUGAGUCAAAACAGGAACAACGUGUCUAAUUUGUAAUAUUAUCCAACAAUGACAGGGAUGUGGUUAGCUUUGAUUAGAAAUUCUAGACUCAGCAUGCUCCCCUUGCCUCUGUGAAGGCAUGUGGAGAAAAAGAGAAACUGGAUGAAACAGGGAUUAAAGCAAAGUGAGCCCCUCCAAAACCUUGUGGUGUGAUAUGUAGGUAUCCAAAUGCUCAGUUUAUGCACCACAGUCAGCACUCAACUACAAAACUUCAGUGUUAGAACAGACCGAAGGCUACACAGGCCUGGUUUCCUGCAUUCAGACAAGCACAAGUCACCAGCCCUCUAUAAAAAGCCCAACUACUGCUAACAGCUAACAGACAGUGACAUGUCAGGCAACGUUGCAAGCACUUUACAUGCAUUAAUCUACUCAAUCCUCACAACACCUCCCACCCGCUUUGUAUUUCCAUUUUACAGAUGAAGAGACUGAAGCAUGGAGAUGUCAAGUCACUGGCCCAACAUAGCAGAGCUAAUAAGCUGUAGAAUAAGCCUUAAAUCCAGGAGAUCUAGCUCAUUCUUGAGUAUUACACUAGACCGUUUCUCUCUUACCUAAACCAGCAGAAAUCACCUCUUCGCUCAGUGUUCCACAAAUUAAAUGUCUGACUGCACUUGGAAACCAUUUAUGAAAUGAAUAAAACUGAGUUGUUGUGUUUGAUUCUUACAGGUUCAGUGAGAGAUCAAUAACCAUAUCAUGUCUUUGCAAAGUGGGGAUGUCAUUGGCAAGUAAACAGCAUGGCUAUUUGCUCAGGAUUCCUUCCUCUCCUACCUCCUGUGCUGCUGCCUUCAGUCCUGGUGCCCAUCAGGUCUCGUCUGACUGACAGCUGUCACCAGGCCAUCCAUCAUGACCAAUCCAAACAACUUCUCUUCUAAUUGGAAUUUUAUAUGUUGGUUAGUACAGGGAUAGACUCUGAUUUCCUUAGAAUUCUACACAAAAUGUUCUGGCAGGAGGGAAUCUUCAGAGACUGGGAGGGAAGCAUGAAUGUGAGAGAACAGUUGUGCAGUGCAGACCCCAGCCCCAUUCUAGUUGUUUCUUGACCCCUGCCUGCCCUUGGUCACUGUAGGGAGGCAGGGGAACUGGCACUAGGCCCCACUGAGGGAUUCCAGGGUUAAGGGUAGGUACCCGGUUCAAAGAAAAAAACAGCAAGGUUUCUUUAACUCUUUCAUUCUAAAAACCAUGAUCUCAGUCCUCUGAGGAAAGGGCAUCUAUGACACCAGUGUCUGAUGUCAAGAUGUUACCGUGUUCCUCUGCCUCUACAGACAACCAAGCCUCAUUUACAACAACAACAAAAGGAACAAAUGUUAAAUCUCUGCACCAUUUUGUCUAGAUGUUUGAAUUUGUCUAGCAUUUGAAUUUUUUAUCAUAUGCAUAUAUUAUCUCUUUGGAAACAUACAGAGAUAUAAAGAGAAAGAAGGAAAUAAAAAGAGGAAAAAAGGAAAGAAUUAAAAAAGGAAAAAAGGAAAACCUUCACAGGUUUUAGUGCCUUACAUAUCCCAUUAUAAAUCCUAGCUUUGAUACCCACUAGUUGUUUGAUUGUAGACAAAGUGUUAAAUUUCUCUAAGCCUGGUUUUCUCAUGCAUAAACAGGGAUCCUAACAGUGCCUACUCGCAUGGGGUGGCUAUAAGAUUAAAUGAGGUCAUGCUUGGAAAGGGCUGAGCUCCCUGCACAGCGACAGUAUGUUUUCUCUGAAUAUUAACUAUCAUUAAUAGUAGCACUAGAAAUAAAGAUCCAUACUUAAAAUCUUGUGGCUCAACUUUUUUUUCUUACAUAUUAAAAAAGGUAGAUGUACAUAAUUAUCAUCCAUUGUGUAGCUGCAGAUCAGGAACUUGCCAACAAGAGUACUGUACUACUAAUAAUACAGCCACAAUGCACUUCAUAGCUUUUGUGUUCACCACCUUGUUGGACUUGGAGUAGACAAAUCAACAUUAAGAGUUUUCAUUCUGGCCGGGUGUGGUGGCUCAUGCCUGUAAUCCUAGCACUUUGGGAGGCUGAGGCAGGUGGAUCAUCUGAGGUCAAGAGUUUGAGACCAGCCUGAUCAACAUGGUGAAACCCCGUCUCUACUAAAAACAUAAAAAUUAGCCGGGCAUGGUGGCAGAUGCCUGUAAUCCCAGCUACUUGAGAGGCUGAGGCAGGAGAAUUGCUUGAAUCCAGGAGGCAGAGGUUGCAGUGAGCCGAGACUGCACCAUUGCACUCCAGCCCGGGUGACAGAGUGAGACUCUGUCUCAAAAAAAAAAAAAAAAAAAGUUUUCAUUCCUCAAGAUAAAGAAGAGAUGGUGGCAAUAAGGGGAGAAAUGGAAUAUAAAAUGUUGCUCCUAAUGUCUGCUGUUUUAGGUGGAAGAAAUAUCCCACCACACAGAAAAGAGAUGCUUAAAAAGCAAACACCCCCUACCUUCUGGAGCAUUUUAGAAGACUCUGAAAUCACCCAGACAUUUGAGUCGUCAGCUGUGAAAGGCUUCCUGUACUGUACAGUGAGAAAUUGUCUUUAUGCUUAUUAUCUCACUUCAUAAGAAAGUCUGAGAAUAAAUAAGAGGAAAAAUAUGAGGGAUGCCCAUGAUGAUCACUUGAGUUGAAAGACUCUGAAAAUGGAAGUCAUUAGUAUCUGAAAGGCUCAUAGUAAAAUAUAAAAUGCAUGAUAUAUUUUGACAAAGAUAUUCAAUGAUAAAAUAUAGAUCCAACUUGCAGGCCAUUUAUCAACUUUUGUCCUUUUGGAGGAAAUAAACUUGUCUACUGUAGACAAGCUGGUAUACAGAAGGAGAGAAAAGUUUCUUCAAUGCUAGUAAACAUGCCUGGGUAUUCUACUGUCAGAGAUUAAUUCCUUUGGCUUAGCCUAGGCCUUCUUUUAAAAGGUGAUCUACUUGAAGAAAGCUGACCUGGUAAGUCAGAAUAUCAGGUGUUACCAUGUUUCAUGUGAUUAAACUAUUUAGAUUUCCCUCCUAACUCAAAUCACAUAAAGAACAUGAGGCCAAGCACAGUGGUUCAUGCCUGUAAUUCUAGCACUUUGGGAGGCCAAGGCAGGUUAUUCACCUGAGGUCAGGAGUUCGAGACCAGACUGACGAACAUGGUGAAACUCGUCUCUACUAAAAAUACAAAGAUUAGCUGGGUAUGGUGGCACACUCCUGCAGUCCCACCUACUCAGGAGGCUGAGGCAGGAGGAUCACUUGAACCUGGGAGGCAGAGGUUGCAGUGAGCCAAGAUCGUGCCAUUGCACUCCAGCCUGGGCGACAGAGUGAGACUCCGUCAAAAAAAAAAAAAAAAAAAAAACAACCAGAAAAGAAAACGAGAGAAAUGGACCAUUUACAGGAUGAGGAUGAGAACAUAGGAAGGAAGAGUAAUCUGGAAAGCGUUGCCCUGACAAGAUGUGCAUGCCUGCCUUCAGUUCACUGAGAAGUUGGCCUGGGGGAUGUUGGACAGGAAGAUAGGGAGAAUGGCAGUAGGUGAAGGACACAGGAAGAGAACAAGCUGGAUCUGCAGUGCUACUGAGCACCAAACACGAAACACGAGGACACAUAGCUUCUCGCAGGUGGAAUGCACAUGGCCGCAGAGAUAGGGUGUAGAGCCAGCAUUUGUAUUUCAAAAAGAUUUUUUAAUUAAAUCAGACCUAUUGUUGACUAAACUAACAUUUACACUACCACGCUGGUAAAAUUAAAAGACUUAUCCAUUCCCAGUGUUGGAGAAGGUACACGGAAAUCCAUAUGCUUACAUCCUUUUCAGGAGGAGAAUAGUUUAGUAGUGCUUAUUCAAAUUUAAAAUACACAUAUUUCUAAUCUAGAAAUUUCACUUCUGGCAAUCUGCCUUGCAGAAAUAUUAGCACAAAUGCAUGAGAUAUUUUUACAAAGAUAUUCAAUGUAGCAUUAAGUGGAAAAACUGAAGACAAUCCAUCAACAGGGACAUGAUAAGAUCCAUCGUGGGAGAUAAUAUGAAAUUCGAGACUAAAUUAAAAGAUGUACAGUAUAUCUAUGUGUUCUAUCUUGUUUAGAAGGAAUUGUAAAAGUGGUUGGGUAUAAAAAAGUGUUGCAAAAUAAUAUUUAUAGUAUGAUCAGAUAGUUGUACUGAAAGAUGGAUGAGUGGAUGGAAGGAUGGACAGAUGGAUGAAAGGAGGGAAAGAGAAAGGAAGACAGGGAGAGAUUGGGAGAGAGGAUGGAGUGGGAGAUAAUAUGAAUGAAUGAUAGAGACGUGUGUGCAUCUAAUACAUUGUCAAUACAGAUGAUCUGUUGCAUUGGGAGUGAGGGGAGGACGAAAAUGUACUUUCAUUUUUAAUUUUCACACACUGUUGGAUUGUUUGAAAUUUUUGAUGACGAGCAUAUACUACUUUUGUAAUUAAAAACCACUGAAUUCUCUUCUUAUUAAAAAUUGAGGGAAUAGUGUAUGCCUUCCUUUCAAGCUGAGUAAACGCUGAACUUCAAAGAUGGAGGCUAGUAUCUAAUCUACUCUUCUCCUGGCUCUAGGGGUAAACUUUGGCUUAUUAUUUCCUCUCUGUAUUGCAAUGUUUCUCUCAAAUGGGAUCGAUGACAAGUACCCUAAAGACAAAUCCUGGGACUAUGUACAAGAAACAACAUCAGUUAUAAAGAAAGUCCUCCUCCAAGAUUAAACAACCCCAUCCAAAUCUUUAGAACAAUAGUUACCAAAUUUUAGCUGCACAGAAUUACUGGGAGGGCUUGUUAAAAUACAGAUAGCUGGGGUUCACCCUCUAUGUUUCUCAUUUAGUGGGGCCUGAGAAUCUGCAUUUAUAACAGGUUCCCAGGUGAUACUGAUGCUGGCUGCUCAAGAGGCCGCACUUUGAGAAACACUGCUCUAGGUGAAAGAAACUAUUUGUCAAAGACAAAUAAUAAUGUUUGCCCCAGUCAACCAUAUUUGAUGAGAACCAGAACAAACCCUGCUACUCCCCAAGCCCCUCUUUCCACCAGCUGAAUGAGCUCCUAAUCCACUGUAUGCAAUCCACCACAGGAGGAAUGUGCUCUAUGACACUGCAGACCAAGGAUACAAAAAAUUGGCACAGAUCUCAGGUCCCACACCCUUAAGAGAAGAAAACUCACCUUCUGAGAAGAUGAUGUUGUCAUUGCACUCAUCAGAGCUACAGGAACACAUGAAGAAAGUCUCACCAGGCUUUUUUUUUUCCUUCAUAAUGCACUUUGGAGAAGCAGCAUCUUCCAGAAUAAAGUCAUGGUAGGGGAGCUUGGGGUCAUGGCAAACUGUCUCUAGUGUUAUGUUCUCGUCAUUCUUUCUCCUAGAGUGAAGAGAUUCAUUGGAAGCGAGGGGAGAGGGAGAGAGAGAAAGAGAAUAAAUGAAUAAUAUGGCCUCCAGACAGAAAGGCAAUCUGGAAUACUUUUCCUUCAUGAAGUUGUUCCUAACAACGGCAGCUGGUUCCUGUUCUCCAGCAUUCGCAGGCUGUCCUAUAGUCUCCUAUGCUUUUCUACUCUUUUCUGUUUUUCCUUUGUUUAUUCUUGGAACCCAUUUGUGAUUAUAAACAUCACCUGGAGCAGACAGCGUUCCACGGGGCAGUCCUGGUGGAGAACUUUACAUAUUUAAGUCUUAAUUAAAUCAUUAAAGGGGAAGACAUGGAAAAAAAGAACAUUCCUAGGUACUCAGGAUAAUUUUAAAUCUUCCAUCCUGAAUGUAAUGCAAACCUCACAUCACACCCCUAGUUUAAGUGGCAAAAUCUGUCCUGUCUAGCUAUACUGUUUUCAAAGAGCAUGCCUGGGGAAAUAGUCACAGUUCCUCUUUUUUUUGUUUGCUGGGCCCCAGAGCAUUGCGUGUAAAGGGUAUACUCCUUGUCAACAGCUGGUUCUGCUGAGAAAAACGGGAAGAAACAUCGCAGAUAAAGAACUGCAGUCUUUCCCAAAUUACAGAAAGGAGCAAUUCAGAAAAAACAAACAAACAAAAAAAACAAAUAAAUAAAAGAAAUGGAAAGGGAUGUCAGGGUGUUCUUCAUUUACAGUUCAAUGAAAUAUUUUAUGCUGUCAUAAACUAACUACUUUGACAGUAUCACUUCAUAGCACAUAUUUGAAGACUAAUUUAGCCCAGGGCUCAGAGAAUUUCUCACAUAGCAUUUUCCUUGGGCCCUAGGAAAUGCUCAAUUGGCCGUCAGUGUACAUUAGAUUUUUAAACAACAUGAUUAAUGCCCACUAUUAUAAUUGAACAAAAGAACAUUUUGGCUCUCUUGGAAAAGGGUAUCACCUCUCUAUCUACCUCCCUCUGCUCCCUCAUGAACAUACUAUCUUGGAUGACUGUCCAACAAGGCUAGUCUGACAUCCACCCUUUCACCUCUGUCCUUUUUAGAUGCAAAAUACCUGUUGUCUUGAAUCGCAUUCUCUCUGUCUAGAGAGGGAGCGGAAGGAAGGGCUAAUCUGGUCCAGUCAGUUUUGCUAGAGUAAUCUUCUAUGAAGAUUCUGAGUGCACACAUGAGCCAAUGCAUGCAUGUACUCACUCACCAAUUUUCCCCUAAUCCUCCCUGCCCCAUGCACAAAGGCUCACUGCUCACAGCAAGGAAAACGGAAGGCAGGCUAGAAGCAAGAAGCAGCUAAGACACAGCUUGCACCUAUAAAAGAUGCGGGGCCAUCCCCAUGAGAGAAAGAGCAACUUUGACCAAUACCACUUUUUUAGUGCUUAAGUCAAGGACAUUAAAGGACAAUAUGUUGACAAAGGGAUAAGGGCAAGGGUAUGGGUUAGGACAAUCCAGGCAGGAAUGGUGCCAGUGUCAACAUCCAUGCAGCCCAGAGUUGACUCCAGUGGAGGUACAUGUGUCUGCUUGUGAAGGGGCUCAAGGGUUCUUAAACUAGAAUUCCGAAAGACACAAGAGGAGCAAGGCUUUGCUAAGUUGGUCCCUGCUGUGACAGGAAGAGUGACAAGCAGAAUAAUUGGUUGAGGGUGGCUAUCAGGACACCAAAUGAAACUAAAUGAAAGUUGGCAUGAUCAUACAACAAAUGAUGUAUAAUUUGGAAAUCUACCCAUCUUUAACCCCAAAGCUACUUGGCAGUCUUCAAAUCAGCUGUAGUCAUGGAACAAGAACACCUUCCUCCCUGCCCCCACAGUUUUGUGUGUGUGUGUGUGUGUGUGUGUGUGUGUGUGUGUGUGUGUAGGUUGUUUUUGGUUUGGGUAAUAAAACGAAGGUAUGCUGUGCCCACAGAAAGGCAUGGUCUCUUUUCCUUGUGACGCUUAUAGAGGCCUAAGAAGGAACUGUGAGCCAUGAAAGAAAGCUGCUCUAUAAUUAUUGGGCAGCUCUUCCAGAGCCUCCGGUUUUCUACCUCUUAGCUACUGAGAGAACUAACAUCACAGAGAGAAAACAACUGUAAUACUUGAGACCUGGUAAAGCCCUUAACUGCUUUCUCCACUCACUCCUGUAACAGCCAGGCACAGCUAACUUUUCAAACUCUUUUUGGAUAUAGCUGAGCAUAGGAAAGGUAAAUACAAAGAAGUAAAUACGGACUUCUUUUUUUGUCCUGCAACAUUUGCUCUGAGCCACUGAAGAGGUUGUCAAUUUCCACUGAAAGAAGAACCAACAUGAUAAAAUUAAUUUUGGAGGCUGGGCACGGUGGCUCAUGCCUGUAAUCUAAGCACUUUCAGAGGCCGAGGCAGGCGGAUCACAAGGUCAGGAGUUCGAGACCAGCCUGGCCAACACAGUGAAACCCCAUCUCUACUAAAAAUACAAAAAAUUAGCCACGUGAUGGUGGUGUGCACCUGUAAUCACAGCUACUCAGGAAGCUGAAGCAGGAGAAUCGCACGAACCCGGGAGGCAGAGGUUGCAGUGAGCCCAGAUCACGCCAUUGCACUCCAGCCUGGGCAACAGUGGGAGACUCCCUCUCAAUUUAAAAAUAAUAAUAAUAAUAAUUUUGGUUAUAAAAUAUUUCUAUCCUUGGAGGCAGCUUAAGCAUUUUAUAUGGAAUGGGCACACAACUGACAUUAGUUAAAUGAAUGAAUGAAUGAAUGAAUGAAUGAAAAAACACUAAAACUGAUUAAAAAAACAACAACACUGAAAUCUACAAUCAUAGUAGAGCCUUUCAGUUUCCACACUGGCUAUUUUUACAAUAGCCUCCUGUCUUAGUUUAGGUUUCCUGGAAACAGACCUUGAGGCUGUGAGAGUUCUGUGCAGGAGGUUUUUGGAGAUGCAUCUGUAAGCGACUAAAGGCAACAGUAUUGCACAGAAGGAAAAAGCUAAACUAUAAUGCAGGUUGCAGCAAAGGCCUCAGUGAAUGCCUUGGAAACUCUGAAAAUGGGAUGUCCUUCAAAGAUGUACCACAUUAUGGCAAAAUAACCAGGAAUUUGUUUCUCUGCAUCAACUAGCCAUGGGAUGAUGGCUACCCAUGAAAAGUGUCCAACGUGAAUGAGGCAGCUCCCAUCACUGGAGGGAAGGCUCAGCAGUGAUCCUUCAACAGCCAACACUCCCAGGGAAUGAGUGCCUUGGUCAUGAAGGAGGAUCAAGGAGGGCACUAUAGCGUACCCUAUACUUCCCCUUCUCAUUAUCAACACCCCUGGCUUCACGGGAGAAUUUUCUUUGGCCAGCACAGGUCAAAAUAAUGUUCAUUGUAUUUACCCUUUAUAGCUGGGACACAGAAAAGACAGGGAGGCCUCCUCUCUUCGACAUGCUCACAUUUUUUUGAGGCUAGCAAAGCCUCUAUUCUAGAGAGACUUGAUUCACAUUUAAUGAUUUGGGCUUGUAUUACUGGUCAGGAAAACAAAAAUCUUAAUUAAAAGAGCCUUUUUGGGUUGCAAAAGCAAGUGCUCACACCACCGUAGAUAUUUAAGAAACCACGGAAGGAAGCUUUGAGGCCAUCUAGUCUGGUGUCUCAAUCUUUCCUGCAUUCUAUUUGACAUAUGGUCAUCCAGCCUCUCCUGAACUUCACUUGGUGCUUACAGAAAAGGAAGCCUGUUCUGCUGUUGGGAAACCAUGAUUGUGAAAAUGUCUAAACUUAUGCUGAGCACAAGUCUGCCUGCCUUGCAAAUGUUAUGGAUCCUCCCUCUACCCUUCAGAGUUAUGCAGAAUAUGUUUAUUAUAUUUUCUACCUGAGAGCCUUUCAAUUUCAUCAGCAGAACCCACGAUCUCUCUUCACUGUACUAACCAUGUCUAAUUGCCCAGGCCAUUCCUCAGACAGCAUGAUUUCUAGGCCUCUAACCACACUGGUCCCUCUCCUCUGAACACAUUCUUUGUCCAAAUCCUUUCUUUGAAAGCGUUACCUAGAAGUGGACAUGGACAGGUAUCAUAUCAUAUUGGCAAGUAUGUCAUGACAAGUCUUUGCUGUUAACAUUCCUUCAGUUCUUAAGAAACCAGUUCAUCCCGUGGUAUGUACAGAAGUUUGCAAGGUUUCCAGAUCUAUCAUCAAGGCUAGCUUUACAUGGUCUAGGGGUCUCAAAUGACUCAUUCCCAAAAAAGGGGGAGAGAUAUUUGGGUUUAUAUUCUUGUUUGUCAACUAGCCAGGAGACACAUAAGUUACUUUUUUUAAAAUGGCCAAUAAAUUAAAAACAUCAGAAUAAGUCUGCAAAAUGUCAUAUCUCAUUAAUGAAUUUAUGUACUUUUGUAAAAUUACAACUCUUCUAAAGAUCAAGGUUAUUUCUUGUUCAUGCUCACAAUCUAUAACCAUGAAUUAAUCAAAUGAUUCAUGAGUAUCCACUGUGUAUGUAUAAUUAUUAUUUGAGAUGUAUGUAUGAGUUGGAGGGAAUGAGAGAGAGAGAGAGAGAGAGAGGAGAAAAUGUGAUCCGAUAAAAAUAUAUAGUUCUGGUCGGGCAUGGUGGCUCAUGCCUGUAAUUCCAGCACUUUGGGAGGCAGAGGCGAGUGGAUCACCUGAGGUCGGGAGUUCGAGACCAGCCUGGCCAACAUGGUGAAACCCCGUCUCUACUAAAAAUACAAAACUUAGCCAGGUGUGGUAGUGGGCACCUGUAAUCCCAGCUACUCGAAAGGCUGAGACAAGAGAAACGCUUGAACCUGGGAGGUGGAGGUUGCGGUGAGCCAAGAUUGUGCCAUGGCACUCUAGCCUGAAUGACAGAGCAAGACUCCAUCUCAAAAAAAAAAAAGAAAUAUGUAGUUCUGAGCUGAGAGAAAGAAGUCAUAUCUAUCCCAAUGGUUAUAUGAAUAAUAUAACCAGAAUUUCUGACUAAAAAAACAGGUUGUUUUUGUGGUUCUCCAAGUAGAUUCCCCAUUUUUGGCUGGUAGUUUUCUCUUCCAACAGCCAACCUUUCAUCACCUCUUCUUCCAGACCUGAGAUUGCCUCAAGAGAACAAAGCUCCUGGUCUCACUAUGGGGUGCUGAGGAGGUGUCGGUUAAAUGACUACUAAGCGGCAAAUCCCUCUUCUUGAUACAAGAAAGAGUUUCCAGAUUUAUUAUAUUAAAGAUCAUUUUAUGAUCUUUACAUUUAUCAUGAUCAUUUUAUAAUCAUGAUACGUUUAUAUACCCACAUAAACGUACACAUACAUGCAGAGAACACCCCUAGAAACUACAUUUAAUAAUCGAAAGAGAGAUGGUCUAAAGGAAAGGGAAAUGGAACAGGUGUUUACAUUUAGGAGACAGAGAUACACUGACUGUGUGUACUAUGAGAAUACAUUAUGUAAAAAGGGGAAAAGAAAGAAUAACUUCUUAAAAGGCUUGCUUACCAUACAGCCACACAGACUUCCUGUGGCUUCUCACAGAUGGAGGUGAUGCUGCAGUUGCUCAUGCAGGAUUUCUGGUUGUCACAGGUGGAAAAUCUCACAUCACAAAAUUUACACAGUUGUGGAAACUUGACUGCACCGUUGUUGUCAGUGACUAUCAUGUCGUUAUUAACUGAGGAGAGAGAAAGAUAUAUUAAAUGAUUAUCCAACUGCCAGGCAGCCUGCCAAUGAAUUCCUGAAGAUGUUAUGCAAUUUCAAAUGAACUUGAUGUCAUGAGAAUGAAUCUGAAGAAAGGCAAAAUAAUUCCUUCACAUCAGAUUAGAAUUAUCUGGUGUAUGCAAUUUGUAAUAAAAUCCAUUGUACCGUGGUGAGGGGUGGUGAGGGGUUGGGGUGGUUGAGUAGCCAUUUGCUUUUGUCAAUGGUUGUCAUAAGGUCCACUUUCUACAAAAAUCUUAUCAUUCAAUAAAGAAACCUAGAUGGGCCCACUGCAUAGUACGGAGUGCUGGGCCCACAAAUAAAAGUACCCUUAAGGAAAUUAUAGUUUAGCUGGUGAAUAAGACAGGAAACAGACCAAGUCAGGGUGACCCAAAAUAGAGGGCAGCACAGAGGAUGUGGGAGCCAGGCGAGCAUCACCGCUCAGCUGGGCAGGGAGGCUAUAACCUCACAGAGUCAUGAAGUGCCACACCAAAGGAGGAACCGUUGCUGGAGGCACAAGAUUUUGCCGCCAUUUUCCUGACCUACUCCUGAAAGAGCUAUAAGGGUCUUCUUUUCAAGGGACUAGUUCUACUGAUCUCUCUCUGUGUUUGAGGCAAAUCAAUUGAUUAACUAACACUUACUGAGUGCCUCCUAGACACAAUCCCAAGCAUUGGUGAGGCAUUGGAGUUAUGAUCGCAGCAAAUAAAAGCUGAAUCCACCUCAGGAUCUGCCUUCUGUACCUCUCCCUUAUCACCACCAUCACCAAUCUCCUGCCCCCUUCUGGGAAGAAGCCAAGUUCAUUCCCUCCUCAGGCCUUUCACUUGCUAUUACCUUUGUUUAGCUUCCUGUCACUUUUCUGAUCUCUGAUCAAAUGCCACCUCUUCAUCCUAUAGCAACUCUGUUUUAUUUAUUGUCUGCACAAACUAUCUGCAUCGCAUACUUGCUAAUAAUCUAUCCACAAAAAUGUAAGCUCCAUGAAACUUUCUCCACCUCACUUACCUACUAUAUCUCCAGUGCCAGGAAGAGAACCUUUCACAUAGCAGGCAUACAAAAAUGUUUAUUGGAUAAAUGAGUGAACACAGGAUGAAUACAAGGAGUCCAUGUUUGGCCCUUGAUGCCAUGUAGGAUAGGAUACAGAACUUCUUCACUCAGAUUAGAGAGGAAUGUGAUUAUAAAUGUGAUAUUCAUUCACAUUUAUUCAAUAAAAUAUGGAAGACAGACUAUUCUUUGCAAAAUACAGGCUGCAAACUAGGGGCAGUUCAAAUAAAGGUGUAACACCCCAUUCCCCAUUUUCUUCCUCAAUGAGAUGGUGAUGAUGUUUAAGACAUGAGUUUGGACAGUCAGUGAAGUAUGACAAGGCUACUAGGCACUCAACCAGCAAACAUGAAUUAAUACUUACAUGCUAGACUAAGAAACAUUAAGCACUUAGACCGCAUGGGGUGCUGGAACAGUUGCUGGGCCACAGAAAGUUGUGAGGUACUUUUCCAAGGCAUAACCCUUAGAGAGGCCUAAGAAAAGCCUCAUGUUCCCUCCGCUCUUGCCUAGAGAGGAACACUUUCAAUGCCUUUCCACAGUCACUCUCUGUCCUGUGAAUUUUAGGAUUCUGUCAUAGAUACUUUGCCCUGCAACUGUCUUUGUAGCUUGGGCAUAGCACCUGUUUCCUGGGUCUCUAAAAAUAUAAACGUAUAUAAAUUUAAGAUUUGCUUUCUUGUGGUAACAGUAAAUAUAGAAGAAAAAAAUAAAGCCAUUCAUCCCUCUCGGGCCUCAAGUUCAUUUCAGGAAGUUUAUUUUUAGGUAACAAGCUAUUUUGAAAUUCUCAGUGUCUCCCAGACCAAGAGCUCUAUGCUUAGCUAAAAAUAUAGGCAGAAAUACUCUCUGAACUGUGUGAAAUUUGGGAGAAACACAACAAUUAAUAUGUAUUUUUUUCUAACAUGGUUAUACUUGGAUCAAUUUUUGAAACAACUAAUAACACUUUAGGUUUCUUUAACAUUGUUUAAAGCAAAAAAAAAGUGAAACCACGUUUUGUUUAUUUCAUACAUACGUAUUUUUUGUAUAGAGUAUGUUUUGGACAAGCAUCUAUUUGCUGAUUAGGAAGGUUUGUUGUUUGUAAAUAUAAAACCAAAUUUCCAUUACUUGAAAUUCAGUCUUCCAACAUCUUAGGAUUUUAGCUUAGAUUGGUGGUUAUCAACUUGGAGAGCAUGUUGAAAUCCAUCACCUGAGGAAAUUUAAAAAAUACUGAAGGGGUCCCACUCCCAGAUAGUCUGAUUUAAUUUUUCUGGAAGGUAACUGAGGCAUCAGGAUUUUUAGAAGCUGCCCAGAUGAUUCUAAUGUGGAACCAAGGUUGAGAACCCAGACCUAUAGUUAGUUGGAAAAAACACAAUAAACAGAAAACAAAACAGCAACCCCCCCACUCCCACCCCACCACCACAAACACAUAUACAACUUAUGCUGCUGAGGGGACAGCACCUGGAUAUAGCUGGAAUUAGUUCCCUUGUGAAAAACAUGCACCUAAGGAGAGGUGAUUAGCUCUUUCACACCUCAGAUAGAAAUUCUUCUCCGUGCUGGCCAGUCCUUUUCUAGCAAAACCUUAGAAACGUGAGAAUAGUGACAGGAGUGAGCAGCGAUAGAUAAGACAGAAAUGAAAACAGAUGAGAUGGGUGCUGGGAGCAGUGGUGGCCACAGAUGUAUUGACAAAUGCAAGUGGUUUAAGUCCGAUGCUUGCAGAACACAAUCAACAGGGAAAAGAAAAAAGGACCAUUAGAAGAAAGAAAGGGAGAGAAAGGGAAGAAGGAUGUAGGGAGAGAGAGAGGAAGGAAGGGAGGAAGGGAAACAAGGAGGGAGGGGGAGGAGAGAGAAAGAGAGAGAAGGUCCACCAAUUUGCACAGCUCCAGGAGCACCACUGUAACGGGGCCCCUGGCGAGAUAUAAUACAUGUUACUUGAUGGGUAGACCCAACAAGAGAAAGCCUUUCCAUUGAAUGUUGAAGAAAAGCCAAACAAGCAACUGUACUGCAUAUAGACACAGGCAUAUGGUGGGAAGGGCAGUGUACAAUAAGAAUUUGCACAUGCUGAGCACCCACUGUAUAUGAGGAAAGUUGCCUAAGAUACAGCAUAUUACUUCACAAGAACCCAGCCAGGGAUGCCACAUUUUUCUCCUUGUUACAGCAGAAGCUACCACUGCAAGAGCUUAACCAGAAUUUUUUUUCAAAAGCCUGUAUGCAGGACAUGUUCAGCACCAGCCAUCGACUCCCUAUUAGUUGACCCUAGGAGACUCCCCACCUUAACAAUUCCAGGUAGCCCUUGAGGUCAUAUACAUUCCAACCUUUGUUUUAAACCAGUAUUCUUUUCCUCUAUAUGAUAUAGGUCCUCAGGUCCUUUUAUGCAUACCAUAUGUACUGGUGGAAUAGGUAGUUAAGUUCAGAGGGCAAAGCUACUCUAAACCUUUGCUGGAGUCACCUAAGUUUGAUAAAAGCCUUAUGAACACACUUUGGAGUUGGGGAAAAGAAACAAAUACAAAAUUUGUAGAUCAUCUGAGAAGGUUUGCAGAUUCUCUGAGGCCCGUAAGAUCCAGUUAAGGCAUCCCAAGCCAACCCCGGAAUCCUCAAGAGUCACUAAUAACAUGCUAAGUGGUAUACUGCUGGUCAGAGUGGGAUGAGGGCCAGUGGGAGGGAAGGGUAACAGUCAUUUGCUGUAUGGGACAUUGCAUCUGUGCACUCCAAACCACAGGAAAAGAUGUUACCAGCCACGACCUCAGAUAUCAAACAACAUCUCCUUACGUUUAAUACAUAAUGUUUAAAAAGCCAAAGGAAUGGGAAGGAAAGUAAGUGCAUACAUGUGCAUAGCUAGGAAUAAAGAUAUUCCUCUAAACAACGAUACAAAACCCACCUAAUUAACCCUAUAGCAAACCCUAACCCAACUUCAACAUUACUUUUAAUCCAGAUUGUUAUAUUAGUCUAAGUCUCUCUAGUUAAGAUAUUCUUAUAUUAAGGCAGUAUAUAGUCAGCCUUCUGUAUCUGUGGGUUCCACAUCUGCGGUUUCCAUCAACCGUGGAUGCAAAAUAUUUUUUUAAAAAAAUUGAUGAUUGUGGCUGUACUGAAUUAUGUACAGACUUUUUUCUUGUCAUUAUUCCCUAAGCAACACAGUAUAACAACUAUUUACAUAGAAUUUACAUUGUAUUAUGUAUAAGUAAUCUAGAGAUGAUUUAAAGGAUAUGGGAGGAUGUGUGUAGGUUAUAUGUAAAUAUUACACAAUUUUAUAUAAGGGAGUUAAACAUCUGUAGAUUUUGGUCUCCUCGAGGAGUCUUGGAACCAAUCCCCCAUGGGUACCAAGAGAUGACUGUACUUCGAUUCCUAUAGACUCUCUGUGAGCAGCUAACCAUCUUUAGAGAAUUUUCUACCCCUAAUAGGCAAAUUCGUUAUUCAUAAAGUUCUCCAGAAAGAAGUUCCAAUAAGAAUAUCUGUCACCUAGAAAGCCAUCCACUAAAGGAAGUGAACAUGGGUAGCAUCUCUCAGCAUAUGAUAGUAUCACAUGGCCCAUAAUAUUUCACUUCUCUUCAAAUAAGCCCAUGAGUAAUAUCAAAACCUUCACUCUAGGUCAUACCACCUUCCCCAUUUUAUCUCACAUUUUCCCCACACUCACUGCCUACAGACAGAGGUUCCAGGUCUUGAGAAUAUGAAUUGACUGCUUAGCUGUGUCUAUUUCUGGAACUGUACUAUUGUCUUUGAGGGUCAGAUGAGCAGCCUAAUAAGAUUUAGACUUAUUUCAGAUAAAUAUUAGAAAUUCUGAAUAUGACCUUAGUCCAAAUCUUUGAAAUAGUGUCUAUUAUUAGCUGAACCAUUAGGUAAAAUCUCAAGGUUUAACAAUAACCAUAAACACUUGUCAGAAAUGCAUUCAUGUAUCACUGAAUUCAUGCAUUCGUGUAUCAUUGAAUUCAUGUAUCUACCGACUGUUGUUUUCUGGAGUGUUUUUUGUGGGGGGAAACUCAGAAAUUUAUUUGUUCUACAAAUACCUGUGGAUGUCUUGAUUAGUGUUAUAUAUUCAUAGUAAGACCACUGAAAUUGACACAAUUAAAUAACAUCUCAAAGAAUAAUCCAUGGAAACUGGUGGAUAGAAUUUACUGUUUUAGAGUACUGCUUCUCAAAUAUUAAUACACAAGUACUUUGGGAAUAUUUUUAACCUGCAGGUGUAGCAUAGUGGUAUUGUGGGGGCUGGCAAGUCUGAAAUUUAUAGGGCAGACUGGCAGCCUGGGAACUCAGGCAGAAAUCAAUGCUGCAGUUUUGAGGCAGUAUUUUUUCUCUCAGAAACCUCAGCUUUUGCUCUUAAGGCUGUUCAGUUGAUUGGAUGAGGCCCACUCACAUUAUAGAGAAUGAUUUCUUUUACUUAAAGUCAAAUGAUUUUAGCUGUUAAUCACAUCUACAACAUACCUUCACAGCAACAAUGAGAUUAGUGGGCACCAGAACCUAGCCAAGUACACACGAAACUGACCUUACAGAUAGGAAGGGAGCUGCUGCCCUGGGUGAUGCCAGCCCACUAUAUGUUGAGUGGGAAGGCUGUGGAGAACCCAGUUUUUAAUAAUUGUUUCCCUUUCUCCAGUCAUUUUGGAGUUAGUGAAAUUAAAUACCUAUUCUUCACCUUUUUACAGGCAUUUCUCAUCUUCCAGUUCUUUCCAUAUGCUUUUCUCUUGAGCCUGACCUCUUAAAUGAUUGCAAACCCAGAGGCCCUGAUCACCAUAUGGGCCCAGAAUUGAAAGACAUGUUCUCUGAAAGGAGGUUUUUAAUUGCCUGCAGCAUUUCCGAGUCAGAUACUGAGGCAGCCAUCUGGCAGAAAGCCGCUGUGGCCUGUGAUGCUAGCAACAGCAGCUCCGACCCUUGAGACAAGGUGGGACAAGGCUAUUGGCUAGUCACACACUUCCUCCCACCCAGAACAAAGAAGAAAGUCAAGCAAUCUGAGAGGAUUCCCUGUAUAAUUCUUCAGGAAAGACAUCCCCAAGCCAAUCAGAUACCUUGGCCAAUUACUACAACCAACCAACCAACCAAACAAACACCUUGUGAUUAAACCAAAGAUAGGAACAUUUUAGGAAUAGUUCUUUUUGCUGAACAUCUAUUGCACACUCUAAUUGGAACUUCUAAUACAAUACCUUCUUUUUAGUUUUUAAAAAUGUGUUUGAACCCUAAUGCUUUAUCUAAUUAUACCUUGAGAGAAGAGAGGUAUCGGGCUUUCCUUCAACUGACAGUCCACAUGGUCUCUGGGGUACCAAGGUCAAUACUAGAGAUACCAUCAUUUAGCUAACAGGGAGACUAUGGCGUGUGCAGGAAGAAAACAGAGACAAGUGACCUGAAGGCAUCAAUUCUCCUUCUUAUGCAAAUAUUUUUGUAGUAAUAAUACUUUAAAACCUUUCAGAGAUGACAAAGUGAAUACUCUAAAAUCUCUGUGAAAUGACAAUGCCUUAUAAUUCUUGCUUUUAAAUAGUAAGUAUUCUACAAGUGCCAGAAGAAUUAAUGCCAUUUAAAAUCAUUAUCAAUGCUUAUUGGAAACAAAUAACAAAUCAUAUGAGUUCUCUAUAUUGUGUUAAAAAAACGCUACUUUAAAUAUUACUUCCUGAUCAUAUCACCAGAGAAUAAGCUCUAAAAGCGAAGCAUGUCAACCUCAUUGCUAACAAGUGAAAUGCAGAUUAAAAAUGCAUACCAUAUUUCACCUAACUCAUUUUGAAAAAGAUCAAUAAGUCAGAUAACACAGUGAGCUGGGUAAAGUAUGGGGAAACAAACAUUCUCAUAAUGCUGUGUUGUAAACAGGUAUAACAUCUCAGGAGUACAUGUUAUUGAUAUCAAUCAACACUGCAAACGCAAAUAGCCUUUUGCCUCGCACUUUCGCUUCUAAAAAUUUAUGAUAUUCAUUGAUAAAUUCGCUGCAGUGUUGUUUGUAAGGACAAACAGGUUUUUUUUUUAACCACUCAUCAAGAGAAGACUAGUAAAAUAAAUUAGACAAAUCCAAACAAGGAACACAACGCAACGACUAAAAAGCAGAGGGCAGCUCCAUGUGGCUAUCUUUAUAAGUGUUGAAGCCCAGGCUAUAGCAUUCAAGAAAAUAAGCAAGGUAGAGACCAAUGUAUAGAGUUACUUGGGCUGGGUGUCUUCUAUUGCCCUUAGAGAUCAGUUCUCCACCCUUGGUCACCAGACUGUCUGCCCCAGGAGGCUCAUCUUUAUGGACUACAUCAACCGGCUCUCUUGCCCUCAAGCUUCCAGUAAGUUUGGCCAAUGGGGUGACCCAGCGGUAUCUAAGGGAAGCAAUGAGGAGCACAUUUAAGGUAUCUGUGUUCUGGCUCCCUCUGUGGAAUCUUUUCCAGCUGGCCAAGUCCCUCACUUGGAGGUCACAGGUUCUCUUCAGGAGGUCAUUUCCAAGAUUUACUUCUUCCCUCUCCUUGCCACUUUGGGCCUAGCAAGUCAACAUAGCAAUUACUAGUCCUAAGUAUCUGCACUAUGGUUUCUCCCAUUUUGUGGUGGUUUCCCUUGACUCUAUCCAUACCUUUGUAAGUACUUGUUUUACUAAACUCUCCUUAAAUCUCCCUAAUUUGAGGGUGCCAUCUGCUUGCAACUGGAACCCUGGUUGACACACCACCAUUUCUGUUUUGUUGUUAUUGCUUUUAUUGCUUUUUUUUUUUUUUUUCAGACAGAGUCUUGCUCUGUCACCCAGGCUGGAGUGCAGUGGCGCGAUCUCGGCUCACUAUAAGCUCUGCCUCCCAGGUUCACGCCAUUCUCCUGCCUCAGCCUCCCGAGCAGCUGGGACUACAGGUGCCCAACACCACGCUUGGCUAAUUUUUUGUAUUUUUAGUAGAGACGGGGUUUCACCGUGUUAGCCAGGAUGGUCUCGAUCUCCUGACCUCGUGAUCUGCCCACCUUGGCCUCCCAAAGUGCUGGGAUUACAGGCUUGAGCCACCACGCCUGGCCUGUUACUGCUUUUUAAAGGGAAUACACACACACACACACACACACACACGUGCACACACAUGCAUGCUUAUAUAUUUAGACGGUCUCUGGGAGUAGAUGCAAGGACAUGAGAAUCAAACAUUAUUUGGCCCUGUAAAAGGAAAAUAAAUAGGUAGAAAACUGAGGUUGAGAAGCAACUUUUUAUUUCAUACCCUUCUGUUACUUUUGAAUUUUCUAUUAUUUUUCUGUACUUAAAAAAUGUUUUCAUUAUAAAUGAGCAAAUGCAAGGCAGAUUCUGUCAUGGCAGAUGCAUGCAGCUUUCAUUCAAGUGACAGCCCCACAUAGCCUCUGGGCACCAGGAUCAGAAGUGGAGAAACAAUACCUAAUAGGGAGACCACCAUGUGGGCAGAAAAUAAAGAGAUAAGCUCAAAAGCAUCAAUUUUCCUUUUCAUGCACAUGUUUUUGUAAUACUAAUAUAGUUUUUAAAACCUGUCAAGAAUGACAUAAUCAAUACUCUAAAAUCUCUUAGAGCAGGAAAUAAUUCUAGUAAAAUACCUAGUACGGGCCGGGUGCGGUGGCUCACGCCUGUAAUCCCAGUACUAUACACACACACACACACACACACACACACACACACACACACACACAUACAUAUAUAUUUUCACACUGAAACUACCUACCAUCUGGCCAACAAUUAAGGAUAUCAAAUGUCUGGGAUACUCUCCACACAACAAGACAUCUAAAACAAACACCAGGUUGGUCCCUACCCUCCUAUGGCUUAUAUUCUAGUUUGAGAGGCAACAUUAACAACGGCAACCUCAUGUGAAUCAGUUACUUGCCUUUAAAUGCAAACAUGAGGUCAGAAAUGGAGACAGAGCUGAUACGGGAAGUGUGUGUGUGAGUGUGUGUGUUUAUGCAUUUAUGUGUGUGAUUUCCUCAUUUGGACUUGUUCAACUGAGGGAAUUUAGCUUUGUAGGUUUGAGUUUCACUAGCAUUUUGGCUCAUGAAUUUAGUAGUUUGCUAUGAUUGCUUUAAGAAAACUGCAUAAACAUAAAUUUGUAUUUACCAAACAAAUUAAGGGAUUAAGGAAUGAUUACUUGUGUCUCAAAUGAAUUCAUCCAAUGAGGUACUUUAAAUUGAAAUCUUGGCUGUACCUUUAAACUCAAAUUUUUUUAAAUGCAAUUUACAAGGAAGUUUUUUUAGUCUUCUACGGAAUGAAACAAGCUGUAGCUGAACGGAAAAAUAAUUGGCUUUCUCCAGUGACAAACAUAAAAUAACUGAGCUGGAAUUUCAAUUGCAUCCUUUCCUAUUUAACACUUACCAGCCCCAAUGACCCCAAAUAAAUCCUAAAAAUGCAUACUUGGUUUUCUUGCUUUCUUGUAUCAUUGAAGAAUGAAGUACAAUUUGAGUCCCCCCAACGCUUGCUGAAUUUUCAUUUAUUUUUCUGUUUUUUGUUUGUUUUUGUUUUUAGUGGCAGGGGACCUCUCUGAGAUACAGGCCACAUAACAGGAGACAAAAUCUAAACAUUUAAAAUGACUCUUGCAGGUGGAAAUAUCUACACAUUGUUGCCAAAGGCAGUAUUUCAGAAUUCUAGCACUUGUGCCAUAUUCAAAAAGCUGAAACAAUUGUAACUUUCUCAAUCAUGCUCUUUCAGCUCUAAUAGGACCCAGUGAAUAAAACAAAUUUCUGAAAGCUGGGGAGAAGCAAGCAGUUUAUAGUAAAUACUGUCAUCAAUACAUGAAAUUCUUAAGUUUUUCAUUGAUAAAGCUCACUUUAACAGUGCCUUUAUCUGGCAAAGACUGACUGCAGGGACUAUGAGAUGAGUCAAAAACCAGAAUGUAGGGUUUGGGGCUGAGAAGAACAGGAAGCCAGUUAAAAAAGUUAAGCCAUAUAAAUGCAAAUGGUAUAUUAGAUCAAGUGAAAGAGUAGAAUGGAGCACUAUUUCAUGAACUCUCAAAAUAAUAACUUUAUGCCUCUGCUGAGAAGUGCUUUAAAGUUGGUACUUUACCUAAAGUGACAGCAACUGAGAAAACAAUUCUCCCUCAGUUGACAGGACUUGGAGUGCUGUAGCAACAAGGAAAUAAUUUAUUAUUGAAAAUAAAAGAUGAUUAAAUAACUCUCUUGGUGAUGGUCAAAACAUUGGUAAAUGGCACAGACUGAUAGAGGCAAGAUAAUGAUACACGACUGACGGAGUUUUACAACAUUCCAAUUCAACUAAAGUAAUUUGUUACUUACCAGCAAAAUUAGUCAACCUAAACGAAAAUGUGCUGCUUUCUGACAGCCCUCAUAUUUAAACCCUUGAGGGAAGGGGGACAGGAUAAGACAUGGUCCUUUCCUCAAGAUCUUUAAGUUCUUCUAGGGAAUUUUUAAAAAUGCACGAAAUGAUUUUCAUCAAAAGAGCUUUGGAAAUAAGGAUGGUCUAAAUGAAGAUGUGCUUUUUAAUUAAGUUAUUCAUUUAGGAUUUAAACAAUUCUUUAUCUCAAAGUACUGAGGCAGCUUAAUGGAAAAUGCAGAAACUAACACAAAAUCUGGUAAGAACAGAUUUUUAAAAGAUAGUGACUAUUAGAGAAUCUGAAAAAUCAGCCCCUGAAAUGAACCAUUUGCCUCAACUAAGCAUGGGAUUUGGUCCGAAUAUCAAUGUUCUGUGAGAGCAGAAUUUUCACUGAUAAAUUUCUCCGUGGAGGCUUUUGCUUCAGUUUUUCAAAAUAUGCUGCGGGGUUCUUGUGCAUGCCUGGUACCUGAAAGGUUUUUCAAUUACAGUUUUAUUAAACAUGUGAAAAUAUUGGUCAAAACAGAUGAUUUCCAUAUUUUCUCUGGAAAAGGGCCAGAGUACUACCAUAUUUGGGAAAGGCAUCCCUUUAAAAAGUAAUAUAACGAGGUCCAAGGCGCUUGGUUUCUAACAACCAAAUAACUUGGGCACAGACUGAGAAGCUAAAGCAGAAAUUGCUACAGUGGGUACAAGAGCUGGACACAGAGCACAGAUGUGUUCUGUUUGGCCUGAACUCUUUUCUUUUUAAAAUAUAAACCAAGUUUUAAAAUUCAGAGAUUUCACAUGCAAAACUGGUUUUCUAAUUCCACUUAAAGAAAUAAAAAAGACUUGGAAACAGUGGGCCCACACCAUCCCAAGACAACAGUCAGCUGACUGUGAGCUGAGAUGCUCCUCUUGAGAAAGUCUCUGUGUCCUCAAAUUUGCCUCCUCCCUGACACUCCUUCAUGUCACCUACUCCCCUGCCAGGCCCCUGUGGCCACCUGAAUGUUUACAAUUAAUGAUUAUUUCACCUGCACAUUCAAUUCUCUCUUCUAAUAUUAGGGUUUAACUAGAAUGCAAAAAGUCAUGAUUUAACUCUCUAAUAUGAAUAUUUUUAACAUGCAUGUAAUUCUCUAAUGUGUAUAAUCACAUUUCAGUUCAAGGCCAGAGGACAUCUACUUUAGAAAUCAGAUCUAUGUGAUGUUAAUAAUUAUUAUUACCAUGAUCAUGAUUUAUCGAAUGCAGACCAAAUGCUUAGUCCAGUAUUAAGUACUGUGAUGAUUAUUUCAUUUACUUAUCACAACCACCAUGCAAUUUUGUCAUUAACAUUUUAUAGAUGGAGAAAUUAAGGGUCAAAGAGAUGAAAUAACUUAUCAUAUCAUAUCAAUGAGAGAAAGCAAAUAAAAGACAAAGCCAAUGGUGACACACAAGCCCUCAUCCUUCCUGAUACUCCACAAUGAAAUAGAUAUUCCAUCAAAAAGUUUAAGAGUAGAACUUUACACACAUUCCAGUACAAGGCAAAGACACAGGUGUGACUACUAGGAGUUGAAGAAAGUAUACAAGGGGUGGGGAAGCAAUAAGUUUCUUAGACAAAAGCUUUGGUUCUUUGUAAUUACUUCACUUAUUUUAGGAGACAUAUAUAAUAAGGUCAGCUUGGUGAAGCCCAAGAGUUUUAAGGUAAAAACUUGAGUGUGAAUUCAGGCUCUUACAUGUAUUAGCUGUGGGCCACUUAACUUCUUGAAACCUCCAUUUCCUGAUUUAUGAAAUCGUCCCAUGUAGGAUCAUGAUGAAGAGCAAACAUGCUUGAAGUACCUGUGAAAAUCCUCUAGACAGUAAAAAAUGCCACACAAGCAUUCACUUGCUAGAAAGGUAACAUUCCAUGCAAUGCUCUCUCACACCAAAGAAAAUUGCAGGAAACAAAUGACAAGAUAAGUAUGAGUUUGGUAAAUCUAUUCCUACUCAUCAAUAGAAUGUAGCAGUUUGAUGACUUCUAAAAAACCUUUCAGGAAAUUUGAAUGAAUAGACAAAUUGAAAUAUAAUAAUUUUUUGUUACCACUGUGCCCUGAUGCUUUCAAAUAUACAAUGGAAUCAAUCAUCGUUACAAUAAAGUUGCCAAGAGUGUUUAGGAUCUAGAACCAAAUAAUCUGGUUUUGAAAUAUUGUUCAUAACCAGCAUAGGUCUGGCAAACAGGCAGUAACUUGAGAAUCCAGUUCAAUUUUCAAAUCCUCUGCUUACUCCUGCACAUUUAUCAGGCGAGAGCUGAUCUACUUUGGCUUUGAGACACUUAGUGUGUUAUUUCGCAACAUGCUAAUAAAAUUAGUAAGUUUGACAUGCAGAGAUGGGAAGGCAAUGAUGUGUCUUAAGAUUGUGGAAUUCUAAAAUAUUGAAAUAAAAUCAUGUUUGGCUUACUUUUCAAGGAAAUAAAACUGCUGUACUUUCAUUCACAGCUGAUGAAAGAAUUACAGAAGAAUAUGGGCAACAACAAUUGUAGUAGAUUUUUAAGUACCUAGUUAAAAAGUGUUCUGGGCCAUCCAGAUAUAUGGAAAGCAAUAUUCCUUAAUCUUCUCUCCUGGAGCUCAUUUGCUCACGUAAAAGUUAAUUAUAAAACAUUGCUAUAUGACUUCUACUGGAGGAGAAUUCACCAUGCUGGGAAUGGCAGCAGGUUGCAGUGGAGAAGGCUCUGAAUCGACCAUGAGGGGGCUUUGAGUUCAAGGGCAAUUACCCAACCACUCUCUGUGCCUGUUCUCCAACCAGUCAAACAAAUGGGUUGGACAUGAUGAACUUAAAGGUCCCUUUCAUUUUGAAAAAUGACACAAAAAGGACAGAAAGACACAUUCAGAUUCACUUUGGUUUCUAAGAUAACACCAAACACUUUGAAACUUCCCCCUUCAUGUUUUUCAAGCAGAGGAAGUAAAAAAAAAAAAAAAAAAAAAAGAAAGAAGUUGCAAGUAUUGUUAAGGCUUCUAGAAAGGACAACAAAGGGCAGGAAAUUUGAAACAAAAUCUGAGAAUCUGCCCUUAAACUGGGCAAUUUUGCUUGUUUUCUCACAGUGCAGUUAGAUGAAAAAGUGUAAGGUUGAUCUUCGCCUUUCCUGGGCAUUACUCAUUGCUGUCAUGACCUUGAUGCAAUUUGCAGUAAACAUCAUAAAGGUCUCUCUUGUGGUGAGUAGCUGCAACUUUUCUGAUGCUACCUCCUGUGAUUAAAAUAUCUACUCCCGGCCUGGCACGGUGGCUCACGCCUGUAAUCCCAGCACUCUGGUAGGCCGAGGUGGGUGAAUCACGAGGUCAAGAAAUCAAGACCAUCCUGGCCAAUAUGGCGAAACCCCGUCUCUACUAAAAAUACAAAAAUUAGCUAGGGCUUGAUGGUGCGUGCCUGUAGUCCCAGCUACUCAGGAGGCUGAGGCAGGAGAAUCACUUGAACCCAGGAGACAGAGGUUGCAGAUGGCCAAGACUGUGCCACUACAUUCCAGCCUUACGACAGAGCAAGACUCUGUAUUUAAAAAAAAAAAAAAAAAAAAAAGGCUACUCCUUUCCAAGUCCUAGCAAUCCCACUAAGGUUGGUAACUUAGUCUGUUUGGCUGCCAUACAAAAUAUGUGAGACUGGGUGAUUUAUAAAGGACAGAAAUUUUUCACAGUUCUAGAGGCUGACAAGUCCAAAAUCAAGGCACUGGCAGUUCUGAUGUCUCGUAAGAGCCCCCUUUCCUGCUUCCAAGAUGGUGCUUUGUUGCUGUGUCCUCUAGAGAGGACCAGUACUGUGUCAUCACAUAGCAGAAAAUGGAAGGGCAAAAGGAUCCAGGCUGGUUACCUCCAGCCCUUUUAUGUGGGACUAAUCCACUCAUGACUUAAUCACUUCCCCCAAAUCUCCGUCUCUUGAUACCACCACAAUGGGGAUUAAGUUUCAACAUAAAUUUUGGAGGGGAGACAUCAGCCACAGUAGUUGGUGAGAAAAAAGGACAGUAUUUACAUAAUGACAGUUGUCAAUGGGCUGUGGAAAAGUCAAGAUAGAUUCCAGCAGUGAUUUUAAGAUGGAAAAUGAGAACCAUGCACACAGUCUUCAAGGUGCAAUCUUCCAACAUAGUUCUGGAACACAGCUGGCUCCUUCCAUCCAUGGGGAAUGACCACAUUUGUGUGCUGAAAUAACAUUUAGUACUAGAGAUAAAACUGGAAUAAGUGAUCUAAACUUUGAAAUGUUUUGAAUGACCUUUGGCUACAAAGUCAAAUUAUAAUGCUUUCUAUUUCUUAAGACAACUCUUUAUGGAAGUUCUAGUAUGUACCUAACUUUGGCACCUUAGAUUUGCCCCACACUGAAUCUUAUCUAUUAAACCUAUCUCAUUCUGGGGUGAGAACCCAGAUGUGUAAAAUCGUAUGGCCAGAGGUGACUGAGAAGUGCAUUUUGACUAUGUUUCAUAGUCUUUUAUCCAUCUUAGCAUAAUCUUUUUACCAGCACCAGUGGAGUUGUGAACUCGCUCAAUUUCUUGUGAUGUCCAGUGUAAAAAUGUAUGCCUAUAAAUGUAACUCUUAGAAAGAGAAGCAAAAAUGAGAAACCAUGGGGGAGGAGGGGAGGAAAUGACAAGCACAGUCUGUUUUUAGGACACUGUACUUGCUGUUCCCUCCAACUAGAAUGCGCUUAACCCAGAGAUCUGCCUUCUUCAUCCCGAUUUCAUACCAAUUACUGCUCAAAUAUCACAUUAUCAAAGAUGCCAUUCUUGACAACCGCUUCUAAAAUUACAAGCAUCUACCAUUGUUCUCAGACCCUCGCGCUGUACUUAUCUGCUGACAUGUUGAUAGAAUCUUGUUUAUUAGCUUGUACACAUGGACUUUAAUUCACUCUGUAUUCCCCAAAUCUCAAACAUUGGCUGGCACACGGUGGUUGGUACUCUAUAAACACUUGGUGAUGGCUUUCCUAUCCCUAAGUCCUCCAAAGCCAAGUUUCAUACCUCUUCCUUAAGUUCCAAAGGAAACCUUAUCUGCAGAAAAUUAAUGCAUAUUUGCUGUUGCUGGAUAAAGAAUAAGGAUAUAGUCACAGAGAAAAAAGGACAUGUUGAGGCCAGGUAUGGAGGGUAUAAACAGUUGGUGAAGAGUUUUAAGCUCAAGGCCUAGCCUGUCUAACUUAGCAAUAAAAGGAAGUCAGUUCUGAAGUCAAAGAGAGUUCUUCUUUCCCCACUGGGAGGAGCUGGUUCAUGAAAGUGGAGGGCCAGAGCCAAGAGAACUCUCCCAAGACACAUUGUUCAAAAGUCAAGGGCAUAAUCUAGAUAGAGCUACACAGUAGCCAUGAGGACACAUGGAUUUAUAAAUUUAAAUUAACUAAAGUUAAAUGAAAUCAUACAUUCAGUUCCAAGUCAGACCAGCCAUUUUCAAGUGCUUAAUAGCCACAUGUGGCCAGGAAUAGACAGGAUACUUUCAUCAUUGCAGAAAGUCCUAUAGGACAACACUGAUCUAAAGAAAUUCAAAAGGACCUGCGUUCCUCGGCUUCUGAGGAGAUCUGAAAACGAAGGCCCAGAGGGAAAUGGAAGGAGAAGCAGGGCAGAGCUUGAAAAGUAAUCGCAUUGGAAAGGGCCCUGACUGCUGGCUUGGAUGCCUUGUGUAAUUAAAGUUCUAUCCCAACUUCUUAAGGAAUGAGUCUCGUAUUAAAUGACUGGCUGUCUGUAGUGUCACUGCUGAGGUAGGGAGAGAAGACAAUUAGGGACAAGGAGUAGUGUUCCAUGGAAAACACGUUAGCUAUGAGUGGCAGCAGCAAAAGGUCUCAGAAGUGAGAGAAAUGGACCCAACUAGGUUUGCAACAAGCUGAAACCUGUAAAGGCUCAUGUCAGCUGGCACAACCUCUCAAAAUGCAAAUCCCUGAGCCCAAGAUAAAUGUAAGGCUCGUCUGACUCCUAAGGUAUCAAGUAAUUCUUAUUAAGCCCCAUUUCAAUGACUGAAACCUAAUGCAGAGCCCAGGCACACAGAUUAAGUUUCCAGUCAAAGCCCACACAAGCCUAAAGAAAGGAAAUUAACAUUUUAGAGAAAAAAAAAAAAAAAAAAAAAAAAACCCACAGGCUUUUUCAAAGGCUUUUUUUUUUUUUUGGAGGAUUUAAGUCACAGCAUGCCAAAUAAAGGUGAGUUUCUAGGAGAAUACAGCACAGAGGUGACCAAGGUGGGUGAAAUUUAUUCACAGGGGAAAAUCCAAAUGCCUUCAGGGAAACCACUUUUGCAGGGUUCUUCUGAUAAAUACUGAACCCAAUUAAAAGCAUCCCUUCAGGGCAAGUUUUCUCCUAGGAGAUUUCUAUUGGCCGCUUUAACUUCCCUUUCCCCAGAAUUUCCAGGAGAAGUUUGUAACGGUUUAUAAUCCCUACCACUCCAUGCUCAUAGACUUUAAGCAUAUUUUUCUCCCACAAGGCAGUACUAUUUUUAUAAUCCUUUUAAGAUUAAAACUAAAAACACAGAUGAUUAAAAAAAAAAAAAAAAGGCCUGGCUGCAUCCUCCUACAAUAAAGUAUUAUAAUUGCAGUGCACUACUAAGUAGUAUUUCCACAAACAUUAGACUAUCUGGUUUCCAGGACAAAGAAACAGCCUAUAAUUCCAAAGCACAGGAAUGGAAAAGUACAAGUAAUUUAAUCUGUCCCACUGUGAUUAUAGGUGCUAAGAAAUUACCUGAACGGACCUCUUUGGGACUUGAGAAGAAUGGGGACUUUAAUGAUGCUCCAUAACUGCCCUAUUCAUUAUGAUACCCAAGAGCCACCUGUGGCUAUUUAAAUUCAAGUUAACUGAAAUAAAAAUAUAUCUAUAUUUGAAAUUCAGUUCCUUAUUUGCACCUGCUACGUUUCAAGCCACAUGUAUCAUCUAAGAUGGUCUCAGACCCACUGUUCAAUAGAACUUCCUGCAAAGGUGAAAAUAUCUUAUACCAGUGCUGUCCUUAAACCUUAACACAGCCCAGGUAUAAGAUAUUUUCAUCUCUGCAGAAAGUUCUAUUGAACAGUGGAUCUAAGACCAUCUUAGAGAGAUAAUUACAUAAUUUUUCCCAAUUUCAUAAUAGAGAUUAUGAAGUAACAGCCUCCAAAAUACAGGGUUUUUAGGCUACUGGCUACCUUCUACACUCAGGUGAACUUUUUGUAGUGGUUUACACAUGUGUACCAAUUGCCCUCAUCUCCCCAGUUUCAAGUACAUUAAAAUGGCAUUAGAUGUAAUAAAAUACAUGCCACUGAGACUCAGCUCAAUUGAAACUUGAGUUUCUUCAGAAUUCCAAACGAUGGUGCAUCUCUUUCUGAAACCUGAAGUGGGGACUUGUCAGGAAAAUGUCUAUGAGGGAGGCCUAGGAAAAAGAAGGCAUUUUCCAAAAUUAAUAAAUUUAUUUCCUUGUUUUUUGUCACACCUUAUUCCAGAGGUGUCUCUAGGCUACUGUGUGCGGAACGAGGUCUGGACAGAACCUAAUGAUAAAUUGGGGGAUACUGAAAGUCCUGGCACUCUAAGGAGCUUCCCCACACAUCUUUAGAUUUUUAUUUCCCAUGUGGGAAAAAAAGAAAGGGAUUUCCUAUCUUCCCAUCACAAACUCCUGGCUUUGCAGUGGUUUUAUUACGUCAUUCCCCUACUUACAAUCUGCCAGUGACUCAGAGAAUUUAGCCCAAACUGGCACUUAAGGCUCCCAUAAUCUGAUUACCUUUCUGCUGAAUAACUCCUUUUAUCAGAAACCCUUUGACCUGAUAAUUGCUGGCUUUCCUACCACCAAAAUUUCUACCUCCCUACCAGAUCUAUCAGGUGGAUUUUAAGGUCAAGAAGAGCAUGCCCAAGGCAGCCUGCUCAGCCCCUGGAAGGAGUUCAGUGCCUUCACUGUUGGCUGUGAGGUUUACGUGAUGGAGGGAAGAGACUCCAAGAAUGGUGUCUGAAAGGAUGCCUGGUGUCUGAUGCUGCCCCUCAGGAGUGGUCCAAGGUGGUUCAAAUACUGCCUGCUUUGGCCAUGGCUGACAGAGCUGAAGAACUGCCUCUAUAUGGUGUGUGGACACACACCCCAGGCAGCCACUUGCCGGCUUCCCUCUGUUUCCUUGAAGGAAGUGGAGUAGCAUGGCCCUGGGGCUAACAAGUGAACAAUAGUGCCUGCCUUAAAUCAUACCCAGCCUUUCAGACCCAGGUCAAGUGUUUUCUCUUUUGGAAAAUCAUCCAUUCCCCCCACUACCAGCCCCACCAAGAGUACUCUGCCUCCUCCGGUUUUGGUUUUUAACCAUCUUUACUGUGAGGUAUGCUUUUAGAUAGGCCUGUAUUUGCUCUGUUCUGCAGAUGAGUUUCCAAAACCUUCUAAAACCUUGCUCAUAUUUGUUAUGCUGGAUUUAAAGUCAACAGAUGGGAGUUUUCAACCCAGUAAAUGGAAUUUCUUUGCUGUGGGAAAUCAAGUACUUUGACCUCUCUGGUGAAAUUCUUCAUUUGUAACCUCACUGGGUUAGGCUAGAUUAGUGUUUCUCAACAUGGUUCCACAUCGGAAUCAUCUGGGGAUCUUUUAAAACAAUAAUGAUGCCAAAGUCCUACCCCAGGGCAAUGAGUCAGAACUUCUAGGUGCUUGGCUCAGGCUUUGGAAUUCUUUUAGAAGUUCGCAGGUGAUCCUAACGUGCAGCCAGGGUUAGAAAAAUAAACUGAGUUCAGGAAGGGACUUAUGCUACAUGGACUGGAGAAUUCAAUAGGAAAAAAUGUAGUAGUUAGAGAUGGGGCAUGGUAGUACUGGACAGAGGCAGUCAGGCCCAUAGGUGUUGCUUCUCAUCUUUGCCUUGAGCUGUAACUAGAAAAACUGCAAACUGCAUUAUAACCAGAACAUUAUUAUAUACAUAUACAUGUACAAUCAAGCCCAACCCAAUUAAUUUUCUCAUAUGACUCAAACUCUAGUACCAUUUGGAGAUGAGGCAGGAAUCAUAAACAUAAUUGGCUGCAGGGCAUUUAGUUGCCAUUGUAUAAAUUCUUCCUGAAAAAUAAUUUUAGAUUAAUUUUUAAGUGUGGAUUUUACAAUUUCCUAUCUUUUUAAAGGGUGGGAAUCCUUUGCCAAUUCCCAAGAGGACAAUAAGCUUAAAGGAAGAUAAUGUCUGAAAGAUCUGAGGACCAAGUUUCCUGAGAAAGCUGUAUUUCUAAAGUUUUGACCCUACAAGGCAACAUUAAAAGUAAGUUCAAGGAAACAAAUGUGAGAAAGCAUAUCUCCCUUUAGAUAACCUAGCAAAGAAGUUAAGAAGGGAAAUAGUUCCUUAGAUCAGAAUUAACAGUUGUGGAUAGCCUUCCCUUCAGAAAAUUGCAAUGCUAAACAGACGUUACACAAGCAAUAUAUCCCUGCAACUUAAUUUCUCUUCCUAGGAUCUUUAAUAUUUUUCUUUUUUUAUUCCAUUAAACAAAUAUAUAUUGAGCAUCACCUAUCCACCAGAUCUGAAGAAACACUAUUUUUAAUAUGUUCAAAAUUUGAGUCUUUUCUUGAUACAAUAACAUCUGCCUUAACAGGAAUCAGUAUGUAAAAAUUACAGUUUUUAAAGAAUUAUAUAAAAGGUAUUAUUCCAGAAGACUUGCUAUGGAAUCCCUUUUAAAAAGGGCGUUCAGAAAAAGGUAACACUGAAAUUUAUUACAGUUUGAAGAAAAUCACUCCAAUUAUAAAUCCAUGAACCCAGUCAUUGUUUAAUGAAGCUCAUCUUUGCUGGAAAAUCCCCACUGAGAACAAAGCAUCACAAUGAUCCACACAGUCCUAAUCAAGCCCACUGGAAAAAUCACCCUGAAGAACACUGGUGGAAAACAGAAAGAAGUCCACACCACAGUGUGAGAGCUAAUUUAAUGUGUUCUUCAAGAAAAAUUAAAUAAAACAAUAUGACUCAAUUUUUCUUUUAUGUUGCAAGAAAAAUAACAUUUAUAUAAAGCUAGUAGUAGAAAAGCAGAAGUAUAGCUUAGCUUUCUAUGAUGGCAAGUGAAAUAGUUUCUGCUAAUCAAAGUGAUUCUUUUUUUUUUUUCCUUUGAGACGGAGUCUUGCUCUGUCGCCAGGCUGGAGUGCAGUGGCACGAUCUCAGCUCACUGCAACCUCCGCCUCCCAGGUUCAAGUGAUUCCCUUGCCUCAGCCUCCCGAAUAGCUGGGACUAGAGGCACGUGCCACCACGCCCAGUUAAUUUUUGUAUUUUUAGUAGAGACGGGGUUUCACCAUGUUGGCCAGGAUGGUCUCAAUCUCUUAACCUCGUGAUCUGCCCUCCUCGGCCUCCCAAAGAUCCGGGAUUACAGGUGUGAGCCACCGUGCCUGGCCAUCAAAGUGAUUCUUAGCCAUUUUCUUUGAAAAUGUCAGUCAUAGAGGUAGGCUCUGUUGCUCUUCAAUGUAUACCUUCUUUUAUAUAAAAGCAAUUUGACUAAAUAUUAGAUGUCUGUGUGAGUCGUGUUCUGCUACUCAAAACACUUCUUGUUCUGUUCUUCUCUAUAUUUUGUUUAUUUGUUUGUUUUUUGAGAUGGAAUCUUGGUCUGUUGCCCAGGCUGGAGUGCAAUGGCAUGAUCUCGGCUCACUGCAACCUCCACCUCCUGGGUUCAAGCGAUUCUCCUGCCUCAGCCUCCCGAGUAGCUGUGAUUACAGGCGCCCGCCACCAUGCCCAGCUAAUUUUUGUAUUUUUUAGUAGAGAUAGGGUUUCACCAUGUUGGUCAGGCUGGUCUUGAACUCUUGACCUCAGGUGAUCCACCUACCUUGGCCUCACAAAGUGCUGGGAUUACAGGCAUGAGCCACAGCGCCCAACCUCUUCUCUGUAUGUUUAUUCAGACAUUCAUGUUUAAGAAUUUCUGAGAAAGGAAGCCAAAGAUAAUAAUACCUGACCUCUAUGUCUAUAUGAUGAAGAAGUGCACUUCCUAUGUAAAGAUGCCCGUAUUCCUGAUUAGGUUAAGCAACUUGAAGUUCUAGUGAGGGGCAAAACUACAGGACUGCAGAAACUGGCAUAGCCUUUUACACAUGGCAGCAUUUGUCUACUGAUAAUGGUGACACAACCUCCAAGAGGGCAGACCACACGGUGUAUUAAAGAGAAGCUGUCCCCAUAAGAAAAGGGGAAAAGUAAAAUGACUCAUUACAUAGUUUGAAAUCUCUUAUGAUGGGUGGACAAAACCCUCAAAGAAGAAAUUCUCCAGUCUUAAAUUGGGCUUUUAAUGUUCGAGGCAAGAACAAGUCUCCUGAUGAGUACACUGCCAUCGCCUCUUUAACAAUUUAGCUAUGAAAAUAUGAAAAUACGAGGAGACUAUAGAUUUUUAUCUUAGAUUUACUUACAAAUUAAGCAGUGAGGGAGCAUGACUAAAAAUAGAAAAAUGAUGAAAAGAUUAAUUAAUGAUACUUUACUAUGUCUCAGUGGAUGGGCAGUCCUAUUACAGCUGGGGCAGAUGAUUUCAUCUUUCUGGGCCUCCAUUUCCACAUCUGUAAAACAGGAUAAUUAUAUCCAUCUCAGAGAGCUGUUUUUAAAAUUACAGAUGACAGGAAAGUGAAACUGUUUUGAAAAUAAUGAAGCUUUCUAUUACUGUGAGAUUAUUAAAAGAUUAUUAUAACUAGACAUGGUCAAUAUGUUUUCUUCAAAGUUAUCAGACUAGACAUUUUUCCCUCUGGUGAUCUUUCACCCAUAUGUCUCAAUCAUACUGAAAUUAUUCAAAUCACUUCUUUUUUCUGUUUUCCUGGUACUAGUUUCUCUUUUUCUUUUUCUUUUUCCUUUCUCUUUUUUUUUUUUUUUUUUUUUUUUUUUGAGACAAAGUCUCGCUCUGUUGCCCAGGCUGGAGUGCAGUGGUGCGAUAUCGGAUCACUGCAACCACUGUCUCCUGGGUUCAAGUGAUUCUCCUGGCUCAGCUUCCUGAGUAGCUGGGAUUAUAGGCGUGUCCCACCACUCCUAGCUAAUUUUUGUAUUUUUAGUAAAGACAGGGUUUCACCAUGUUGGUCAGGCUGGUCUCAAACUCCUGACCUCGUGAUCCGCCUGCCUCGGCCUCCCAAAGUGCUGGGAUUACAGGCCUGAGCCAUUGCACUGGCUGGUACUAGUUUUCUAUCUGCCUGAAGAAGUACGCAAAUGACUAUUUUCAUGACUUUUUUUUUUGCCUUUAAUAUUAUUUAACAGCUAUUUUAACAAUGAAAGACAUUUUACAUAUUCUCAAAAGGUAUGUACCAAAGAAGGGUGUGGGCAGAAAUGUUCACAAAAUCAGGACCUUUCAUUGCAUCUUGGUGACCACCAAUAAAGUACACAGAAACCCAUAGUGAACUGAGGUCUAAGUGGCUGCUAUCAACCAACACAAUCUUGAACUGCUGAGUCUGAUCAUUUCAUUUUCUUAAAACUUCAGGACAGUUCAAUUUAGAGAGCACAAGAGUGAAGUUAGCCUCCCUGGUCAUCUAAAGCAACAUGGGAAGGUAAUUUAAGAAAAGUGACACCAUAUCAAUCACUUUCCCAAGCUUUUCAGGGGCUCACUCCAAAGACUUUCUUGAUGAUAAAUUUUAUUAAAGUGCUGAUCAUAAUCAAAACAGUACAUUGUAUCAGAGGUCAAGCAUUGUUUUUCACUUCCCUUCCCAGAACUUAUUAAAGAUGUACCUCUGAAGAAAGACAUAAGGAAGAACAAAAUUGUUUUGACUCACAGAAAAUGGCUUACACAGACAUCUAAUACUUAGUCAAGUUGCUUAUAUAUAUGAAAUAAGUUAUACCUUGGGAGUAACAAAGCCAAUAGGCUUGGCUCAUAGGGGGCUAACUACGGCUGCAGCAGUUAUUCAAGAAGUUAACAUAUUCUCUCCUGUCCCCUGAAGACACCACAGGCAUCUCAGUAAUAAACUGAUAACAACCAAUACUCAAGAGUUUGUGAAAAUGCUUUGUAAAGUGCUGAAUAAUGUAAGUGAUUAUCUACUUACCACAAACGUCCUCACCAACAUCAUCAUUAAAAUCUUGAAAGAUAAGUGCUUUUCAGUAGUUUUGAGAGUGAACCAAUGACAUGCUAAAUUAAAAGCAUUAUAUUUCAACCAUUUCCAAUAAGUGCCACAGAAUAUUAAGACUUAAGAAUAUUAAAAUUCUGGUCAGGUGCAGUGGCCCAUGCCUGUAAUCCCAGCACUUUGGGAAGCCGAGGAGGGUGGAUUGCCUGAGGUCAGAAGUUCAAGAGCAGCAUGGCCAACAUGGCAAAACCCUGUCUCUACUAAAAAUACAAAAAUUAGCCAGGUGUGGUAGUGGGCACCUACAAUCCCAGCUACUCGGGAGGCUGAGGCAGGAGAAUAACUUGAACCCAGGAGGCAGAGGUUGCAGUGAGCUGAG